CGCUCAUCAGCACAUGAAGCCGGUGGGCACGGUCUUGCCGCAGUAGUUGAGGAUGAGGCUGAGAUCGAGUGGCACGUUGAGGUUGAUGCCGAGGACGUUGGCCUUGAUGGCGGUGCAGAGGCAGACGGCGGCCUCCAGGUCGACGAGCCCCGCCAGCAGCGGGCAGCAUGGCUCCGCGGGCGGCACGCCGACCUGAGCCUUGAUCAGGCCCAGCACAUUGGCGCACACGCCCAGCUUCAACGCAUCCCUGGGGCACGAGCCGUUCGACGACGACGAUGGCGUGGGUGUCGUCGGGCUGUUGGGCGCACAGGCGCUGGCUACGCCCAGCACAACCAGGUUCACGGCCAGGAACAGCGCGAACGCCUUGGACGCCAUUAUUGCUCGAUCACACCAGCUCGCGGAUCACUCUAGAGCUAAUAUGGUCAGAGAGCUCUUGACAAGUGAUUAGCAGCUAGUUUGCGAUGCUUUGAUCACGGGGUGUUACCAGGGAUACUUAUAGUCCAGCCUUAGGAUUAAGAAAUCGGUGCACUACUAGGCACGAUAGUGUUCAAAUGAACCGAGUCAUCAUAUUCAAAUAUAUACAGGUGAACCCGACCGGUGAGGAAGAGUCCGUUCUAGAUUAUUGCCUACAUCGUAUAUUUAGUGUUUUCCGUGAUACGGUAUCAAAUAUUUUGUGCACGACGACUUCGGUUGGCUCCGCAAAUGGCCAGCUCGUAUACUAAUAUUUGUUUUCAUAUGAUCAUUAGGCAUCAUUUCAGCUGGGCAUCCUGGCGGAUCCGACGGAGUGGUGCCCAGGACAUUGGAUGUCAAGCUAGCGAAGCAGCUGGUGAUUAAGAAGGAAUGUGUGGCGUGGCGCGUGCUCAUUUAGAAUGGAUGCGCAAGAACCAAGGCCAGAGGAAUAGCAUGGUCCUGAUAUACAAAUUAAACUAGCACGAUUGGAAGAAGUUUCAAAGCCACGACAAAACUCUAUAAUUCUUAUGUUUUGGUGUAGCAUUGAAAUUAUUUUUUUAGAAACCACAUUGAAACGUAAAUGAAAAUUUCGGACACAACCUUUGGGUCUACAUUGCUUGAUCACUGGCCUAUCCAUCAACUUUAAUUUGAGCCACAUGGACCAACCUUCUUAGCUCGGGAAAGUAACACUGCUGCACAAAUUAUUUCACAAGAGGCACUGGUCCCCGAUUUCACAGUCGAGGUCUGGCGCCAUCUCCGUUCUCCCUACGUUAUUCCCUGGCUCGACCUUUUUCCUCGUCUCCAUCCACCACCAUCCUUGUUGUGAGCGCCUUCCCAUGCCGCCAUCCGAGGAGGGGCUCCCUUGCCACUACGUCGUCUUCCUCGUCUUCUUUGUCGGAUGCGCCUUCUAGGUAGACCCCUCACUAAAUCCUAGCUUGGUUGUGCCUGUUAUUGCCUAAGAUGUGCCCAAAGAUGAAUUGAGCUGUGAUGUCAAUUUUCAAUGUUGCUUGUUAUGCUAUUUCCUAAUUAGUGCAGUUAUCAGCAUUGCAACUUUAUUGUACAGCAUCGACCGUGACGACUACAUAGACAACCGCUAUGGCAACUAGCGUCAGCUCUAGUGCCGCUGGGUAUGUUGUUGCAAACCGUCCUUUGUUUUCUAUGAUUAGAAUCAUGAUGAUUAGUAUCAUGUACACACAUGCACAUAUCAUUAGUAUCAUGUACACACAUGCACAUGUCAGAUGUCACAAAACAUGUUAUUCAGAAUUUUCUAUAUUAAACCGGUACUUAAUUUGCAUUAAAUUUAACGGCUGUAAUGGUGAAUGAGUUCAUCGCCCGCUAGUUUUACGUCUUUUUUGCAUUGCUGUCAGAAUGGGCUUCAAAUAUCUUUGGCAAAGAGACUGAGAGAGAGAGAUAGCUAGUUUUUGAAUUGCCAUGGACCCAAAUCCAAGGAUCCUGGACCAUGAAUGGAUUAUUUACUAUUAUACCAUUGGGAUUAGGAUAUAUAGUUGGGUCCAUGCAUGCUUGAUUAAUUUAUUAGUGCAGACACCAAAAACUAUUCUUUUUAUCACUACUUUCUUUAUAAUAUACACCAAAAAUUCUUUACUAAAUCUACCUCCCUCGAUCACAAACACGGUCAUGCCUAAUCUAAGUUCUAUAGCCUUUCUCUUCCUCACUGAAAAUCAAGGCCAAAGUCAUCCGGAUCAUGCACAUCAUUGACAUCUGUUGUGUCUUCAAACUUUUUGUGAAAGUUACCCGCUAAAAGGUUUUUGUUUGGUUUUGGUAAUUGAACAACUUAGGUGGACUAAUAGUUUUUAUGUGAGAUACACAGGAGAUUAGUCCAUAGGUGAAUAUGUAAUGAUGGAGAAGCUCAUUGCAUAUGAGACAUGACAUGGAGUCAUGUGACCAAGAUGGAGAAGAUCUAGAUAAGGCUUGGCUUGACGGACUGAUUGCAUGUGUGAAGGGCAAGUAGGAGGCUUUGAAGCGAGGGACCGCGUGUGACAGCGAAGCUUGAGCAAGACUUGGCAGCGUUGGAUGCUAGACCUGCGUCCGACAAUGUGUGAUAGAGUUGCACGGUGCAUUGGCGCGUCCGAAGGUUUUGCGUCGGACGCUGAUCGAGUACUAUUAAGCGUCCAACGCACGCAUCGUUUUGCGAGGUGUACGUGUAGGACGCUGGCGCGCGUCCGAUGAUCACCCGUUAGUGCGUGCGUGCAUGCAUGCAUGCAUGCUGACUAGUCGUACGUCGUACCACGUGGAAAAGUAAUCAAAUAACAACACAUAAUUCAAAAGAAAAAGUCUAUAUAACCCUCAAACUGGGGUGGACUACUUCACCCUCCAAACUAUAAAACUGGAUAUUCUACCCUCUAAACUUUCAAAACUGGUCAAAUAAUCCCUUCAGUUUUGUUGGACUCCCGAUGAGUAGAUCUACAAAGUGAAUAUAUAACAUGGUAUACUUUGGUAUAAAGUUUUUGCUGUAGCUUUAAAUCUAUGUUUUUCUAUAAUUAAUUCGAAUAAUUCAUAUAUAUAGUUCCUUUGGUUCAAUUGUCGUAAAAUUUUUAUGGUGGACUCAUUAAUGUAUACUUGAACUACAGUAAAAGUUUCAUAGUCAUUGGAUCAUGUAUAACUUGAUUCUACAAAAUAUUUGGAGAUACAAAUGUUGCUAAUAUUUAUUCUACAAAUCUUGUCAGAUGUAACAAAGCUAACAAACACGCAUGCCAUAGUCACACUCAUGAUAGGGGGGUAUACCUGUAACCAUGGGCAGAUUUAGGGGUAUUCCCCUUAUUCCCGGGAAUACCCAACUAUUUUGGUACUUUUAUGUAAAUAUGUAUAUGUAUAUAUAUAUAUAUAGUGCUAUAAUAUAUAGUAUUUUCGCACUUGUGAGCUCAAAACAUGUAAAAAAAAUUGGCAUUUCAAUUAGAAAUCUAUAUUCUAUAAAGCAAAUUUUGAUUUAAAGUUGCUGACUUGUAGUGCAAUUAGCUAUAUUUUAAGCCUAUAAAUUUGAUUUUGUGGAAGUGGGAAUACCCAAGUUUCAAAUCCUAACUCCGCCACUUCCUGUAACUCCUAUUAAGUAUGUGGUAGCCUGUACGUAUUCAUAUGCUCAAGUACGACAAGAAUAUAUAACCAGAACAUGCGUGCACACUGUGAAAUAAAUCGCAAACCAAACUUGAUUGGAACUUAGCACCCACAUACAAGUGAUCGCUGGCUUUUUUACAACAAAUGGAAAAAAUACAAAAGUGACAGCAUGGCCGGCCAUGCGUGCGUGCAGGCAUGCAUGUAUGGUGACUGCUGUACUAUGUGGAAAAGCAAUCAAAUAACAACGCAUCAUUUAAAUCGAGCUAAAAUUAAAAGACAAGAUGUCUCAUAUGUAUGUGCGUCGGCCCAUGCAUUGCAUGGCAUGCGCUCAUUAGCACAUGAAGCCGGUGGGCACGGUCUUGCCGCAGUAGUUGAGGAUGAGGCUGAGAUCGAGUGGCACGUUGAGGUUGAUGCCGAGGACGUUGGCCUUGAUGGCGGUGCAGAGACAGACGGCGGCCUCCAGGUCGACGAGCCCCGCCAGCAGCGGGCAGCAUGGCUCCGCGGGCGGCACGCCGACCUGAGCCUUGAUCAGGCCCAGCACGUUGGCGCACACGCCCAGCUUCAACGCGUCCCUGGGGCACGAGCCGGACGACGACGACGAUGGCGUGGGUGUCGUCGGGCUGUUGGGCGCACAGGCGCUGGCUACGCCCAGCACAACUAGGUUCACGGCCAGGAACAGCGCGAACGCCUUGGACGUCAUUACUGCUCGAUCACAAGCCAGCUACCAAGCUCGCGGAUCACUCUAGAGCUAAUGUAGUUAGGGAGCUCUUGACAAGUGAUUAGCAGCUUGUUUGCGAUUCUUUGAUCAUGGGGUGUUACCAGGGGUACUUAUAGUCCAGCCUCGGGAUUAAGAAAUUAGCGCACUACUAGGCACGAUAGUGUUGUUCAUAUGAACCCGACCAUCAUAUUCGAAUACAUAUGCAGGUAAACCCGGCCGGUGAGGAAGAGUUCGUUCUGAAUUAUUUGCCUAUAUUGUAUAACUAGUGUUAUCCAUGAUACGGUAUCAAAUAUUUUGUGCACGGCUUCGGUUGGCUCCGCAAAUGGCCAGCUCGUAUACUAGCAUUUGUUUUCGUAUGAUCAUUAGGUGUCAUUUCAGCUCGGGAUCCUGCCGUAUCCGAAGGAGUGGUGCGCAGGACAUUGGAUGUCAAGCUAGCAAAGCAGCUGGUGAUUAAGAAUGAAUGCGUGGCGUGGCGCGUGGUCAUUAAGAAUGGGUGCGCAGGAACCAAGGCUACCUAGAGGAAUAGCAUGGUGCUGGUAUACAAAUUGAACUAGCUGGAUUGGAUGAAGUUUCACUACUACAGAUUCAGUCAUCACUGCCGGCCUCAUCAUUGAUGGAAUUAGGAGCACAGGUAGUGAUGCCCCUUUACUUCCGUUUCUAGGCCCUGACAACCAAAAAAUGCUUGGGGGUGUGACAGAACCGGCAGUGAUGACAACUAUCAUUGUCGGUUUGCAUCUCAUAUCAGCAGUGACUUGACGGCCACUAGCCAAGAACCGAUGGUGAGAUGGCAGAAGAAUAACGCCAGUGGCGGAUCUAGAGAAAUUUGGAGGGGGUAUGAUCAUAAAUAAUGCACCUAGCAACCGAUCACAUGUUUAUUUUUCUAUGGCGUGGUGUGUUACCACUUGCCACCGAUCACAAGUUUUUUAGACCAUAAUAGGAGUUUGCUAAAAAAAUAUUUUUUUCUUUUGCACGGUGAUCCAAUAUAUUAUUAGAAUGAAUGUCUCAUAAUAUAUAAAAGAGCUGUGAAGUUGCGGUCAUGCUUGUAGUUUUUCUUCCGCGUCUUUUAGGGAUGGUGCUUAUACCAAUUUUGGUGCCUCGCCCAAACUAAUAUAUGCAUUACUUUUUAUAUAUUAAUUCUACAUCAUUUUCUAGCUCCAUCGAUUGACCCAUAUUAAAAUCACGAAAUGGAUCUCUUUGGAUGGAAAGUGGGCUGAGCAAUCAAGCAACAGAAACCAAUUUAUUUGCUUCAUCUUUUUCAUAAAUAUCAAUUAUCAAACAUUAGAGAAAGAAAAAAGUCUAGUCCUAGAAUUUGGACAAACUAGUAAGAAGGAAAGAACCACAAAAUGAAAGACAAUUUGGAUGCUCAUAAGACCGAAAUUGGAAGAAUAGAGAACCUUGGAAGUUACUUACUUUGACUUUUGAAUGAUGAACAUAAUAUUGAAGAUCAUAGCCAGGGCAACGGGGCGAACUAUGAUGUGCUCUUGGUGCCCUUGACCCUAAGGCUACAAGCUUGGACAGAGCACAACAAUGCCCAUGGCCAAUCGGCCAUGGUCGACGACCAGUGGUAGUAGGUCACCAUCCACCGGAGUUCACGCUGUCGCCAAGGGGAGGCGAUGCGUCGGCAGUUUUUGUAACACCCAAAAAUUUGUUUUUGAAUUAAUAGGAUUUAAUGAGAAUUAUUUAAGCAAUUUUUGUGGGCAUUUAAUCUAGUAAAUAAAAUAUUUUUGUCAAAAUUAAAAUUUAUUAUAAGUUUAGAAACUUGAAUCUUGCAUUCAUGCUGGAUCAUAGUAUUUUUUGUGUGUUGUUCCUGUUUUUAUUUUAUUGUUUGUGCUUUCAAAAUGCUAUUUGGAAAAGGUUUUGGAAAAGAAAACAUAAAAGAAAUUGAAAAAAAAGAGAAAGGGGGAAGCCCUCCCUGUCGGCCUGGCGGCCAGCCAGCGCCUGGCUUUCUCCCCCCAACCCGCGGCCCAGCUUACGGCCCAGGGCGAGCAGGCGCGCCCCACUUCCCUCCCUCUCCCUCCUUUCUGCGGCUGACGACACGGGCCCACGCGUCAGCGCCUAUCUCCUUCUUCCCAGCGUCAACGAGCCGGUUUCGGCCGGGAGACUCUCCAGCGCCGAACCGAAUCCGGGGAAGCGGGAUUUCCUUGCCAAUUUGGCUAAACUGCGCCCUUUUAAGCCCCUGCGCACCGCGGCGAGUUCUCAUCUGCAUCCUAAUCGCGAAACCGAGCCCUAGCCGCCCUAAACCACGCGAAUUGGAUCUCGCCGACAGCCGCGCACAUCCUUCACCGUGACGAGCACUAUCCCCUUCCAAUCAGCGCGAACCGAGCGUCUAGGUGAGUUCGCGUGAAGCUUCUCCGCGUCCCGGUGUUUUUCUUUCUUGAAACGGUGCUCGGAAACGAGAAGUCCGCGGACGCCGGCGAGCUCGACCUCCCUGUCCAUGGCGACCACCGCACCAGAGAGGAGGCAGACGGCCGGCCGUCGCCUGGCCCCUCCCUGGUGGCCUGGGGACCGUCCAUCUGAAGAUCAAGGGCCCAGAUUAAAACAUACCCCUUCGCCAGGAAAAAUUGUUAAAGAGCCUCUGGAGUUUUUGCUAUUCAACUCGUCAUCCUUUACGUAUUUCAAGUUUACGUUUCCUUUCAGAAAGCGUAUUCUGGUCGGCUGAAUCUAAAAUACGUUUUCAGUUAUUUCAGUUAAUUACAGAAUGCCACUGGAUUUGUUUUGCUUAUAAAAUAUUCAUAUUAACUCCGUUUUUAUCCAUUCAAAUUCCGUUAGAUUCGUAAUUACAUGCUCUACAUGUUAGAAAUGUUAGUUUACUGUUUUGGAACCUUUUAAUUUCCUGGUACUAUUUAAUUAAUUAUUUCUCUAUAGGAAAUCUUAGAAAAUUCAUAUCUUUCACGUUUUAAUUCCGAUUUUCGUGAACUUUACGUUUAUGUGAUCAUAGCGCUGCGUAGAAUAUUUUGAUAAGCUUUUAUAUUUGUUUUACUACUGUUUGGUGUAUUGUUCUAAUAAUAGCUUGUUUGCUUCGUGUAUGAUUGUCUACAUUGGAUUGCGUGUUGUUGAUUGAUGAUUGGGAAUAGACGGUGAGCCGUACGUUGGUGAUCAAGACCAAGCUUUUGAAGACCAGCAAGCUCAGAAGAGCUUUGAGCAAGGCAAGUAUAACUUGGGAUCAUCCUUGUUACCUAUUCACUUAUAACUACACAUAUAUAUCAUAUGCAUGCUAUCACCUUGUCGACCUUAGCAAAAUCAUAGAUGUUUGUUACCUGUAUUCCUUGUUACCUACUUGAUAUGCAUUUGGUGUAGAUGUGCUAGUGCUUGAUAUAAUCUAUGAUCUUGUAAGAUAAUUAAUAGCUAUGCAAUGAACGUUAAAAGAUGACAAAUAACUAUAUGAGAUCUUGUCUGUAAGUGAUCACCGGGACAACAGUGCAACCAUGAGGGCUAUAAUGGCUCUGGCUUUAGCUCAGUAUGAAGACUUUUCUAGCUUGUUAGAGGUUACCCGAAAGGGCGGAGGGGCUGAACCGUUUUGGGUAUAGUGCGAGCCCCUGUCCCUAUGUGUAUAGGCUGCGCGUCAUUGUGCCAUUCGGAAAAGGGUAUCUAUAUCUGCGCGCAAAGGAAACCUUGCGGCCCUAACAUGUUAGACGAACUUUUGAAAGGCUUCAUAGUGAUCCCUGCCGACCUCCCUAGGAAGGGGGUUAAGAGAUUAGCUACCUCGGGCGAAAGGGUAAAUCAUGACUCAUGGGUAAAGAUGUACAAACUCUGCAGAGUGUAAAACUGGUAUACUAGCCGUGCUCACGGUUAUGAGCAGCCUUGGAGGUUCUUGCUGCGCCGACGAUGAGCUUAUUAAGUUGUUAUGUCCAUUUGAUUAUCGUUUAUGCUAUGAGAUUAAUUAUGCUUACACUUGAUCAUGUGAUUAAUGGAUUAUUUAUGCUACCUUGAUAUUUGCUAUCCAAUGAUUAAACAUGUUAUCCACUAUUAAAAGCUAAAUGCAGUCAAACCAGUGUCAGCUAUUUGAGCCUCAUGAACCCCUGGUUAUACUUGUUGAGUACGAUAUGUGCUCACUCUUGCAAUUUCCCAACACCUUAGGUUAUGUUAAUGAUGAUGCUUGGAAUGAGGAUUACCGUUAUGAGUACUAGGUUUGGAGUCAACCAGUCAACAGUGUCCCUGUGUGGAGCUUCCGUCGAGAGCGUUGUUUACUUUAUGCUAUCAUUUUUGUAUGAGACUAUGUGAGUUCCGCUAUGUAAUAAACACUGCAAUGGUACUUUUGAGAUUUGUCUACUUAUGUGUGCGACUGUUUCUGGGACACAUAUGAGUCUUUUAUGCAUCCUAUUUUGUUCUUAAAAUAUGGGUGUGACAGUUUUGCCUGAGUUGAAGUGGCGUCCGAGUUGUCGAUGAUUCCAUGCGGACAGGGGCCUGGCUGAUAUUGGGCUAUGUGUUGAGGAGUUGUGGGCUGUUGUGGCCUCUCUCGAUCGACUCAGCAGAGUUGUGGGUGCAGAUGUUUGGAUUCAGGGGGUGCGAAUACCAUAGAAACAUGCAAAGUAUAGCAUAUUUUGUAUUUUUGUCUGGGUGUGGCCGCACCCAGUAGAUCCUAUAUGGAUCCGCCCAUGUAUAACGCACAUGGAGAAAAUACACAGGUGGCAAAGCAAGACAAGCAUGGCUGAGGGACAGAGGCGGCGAAGCGGUGUGCAUCAUCCAUGGGGACGGAAGAGUGAUGCAUUAGUGGCUCAUGCAUGGAUGAGGAAGAGAGGAGGCAGUUGAGUGGCUCUUAGUUCGCAGACGACUUAACUCCGGGUCUGUAUAGUUCAACUGUCACCAGAUAACUAUGAAAAAGCUCAUGUGAGCUAUGCGCUCUAGAAAAAUUAUAAGUUGUUUGGUUAAAGCAACUACAAAACCUAUUAGGGGUGGAUCUAGCACGUAGUCGAGCGGCGUCGAGCCCCUCUUACUGCCAUUGGAAAUGUAAAGCCUCUCCUAUAAGUUUGUAGCUAUUAAAGUUUAAAAGAAAUUGCUAAAUGCAAAAGAUAAGGAGGAUGAGCCCCUCAUACCUAUCCAAUCUAAUCUCUCUUGAAAUGAUUAUGAAAUGUUGCUAUAUUUCCACCCAUUUGGAAGUUGGAAUAACUGAAAGCAAGAAGUAGGGUUCAAGGUGUGAAAAUUAUACUGUGAAAGCAGUAGCUUCUAAAAAAAUAGCUUUAGAUGUUUUAUCGGUUAACACCACCACAAUAGCAAUUUUCCUAGGUGACCAUAAUUGGUUUUUGGAGUCGGGCAGCCAGUACGUCUGCCUCUCCUUCAACACCAGUAUAAAUCAAGAUUUAUGCAGGCGGACACUUGCUCAUCUGUGUUAACAAAAUAAGAAAUGGCAUGCGCAUCGAUGAGGCCCUCCAAGCCUAUCCACAAGGCCCGCCGAGCCCAUUCACGUGCUGCCAUUGUCGCUGGAUCCGCUCGUCGGAUCCACGCUCACUAGAGGAAGGGAGCAGCGUACUACCGACAUAGGGCCUGCGUGCCAUCGCCGAUUGCCCCAAACGCUGCGCUGGAGGAAGUGUGGAUCGCGCACCGCUGCUAGUGGCCGCAUGCACUGCGCCACCGUCUGAUUUUUGUCCGACACCCCGCACCACCGUCUGACAAAUAGUAUCAUUCUCACCUUCUGAGAAGUUAAACAUUUUAAAUUUUGACUAAAUAUAUAUACAGAAAUAUUAGUAUUUAUGGUGUAAAAUUAGUAUCAUUAGAUAGAUCGGUAAAUAUAUUUUUAUUAUAAACUACGUGAAGAUGUAAAUAUUGAUAAUAUUUAUUUUACAUAAUUUGUCAGAUUCAAGAAAGCUUACCAACACACAUUCCUUCUCAGUGACACUCAAGAGAAUAAGUACGUGGUAGACAGUACGUUUUCAUAUGCUCAAGUACGACUAGAAUAUAACCAGAACAUGCAUGCGAAACUGUGAAAUAAAUCGCAAACCAAACUUGAUUGGAACUUAGCACCGGCAUACAAGUGAUCGCCGGCUUUUUUUCAACAAAUGAAAAAAAUACAAUUUGACAGCACGGCCGGCCAUGCGUGCAUGCAUGUAUGCUGACUAGUCGUACAUCAUACUACGUGGAAAAGCAAUCAAAUAACAACGCAUCAUUAAAACCGAGCUGAAAUUAAAAGACAAGAUGUCUCAAGGCGCUGAGAUCCAGGCGCUCAUCAGCACAUGAAGCCGGUGGGCACGGUCUUGCCGCAGUAGUUGAGGAUGAGGCUGAGAUCGAGUGGCACGUUGAGGUUGAUGCCGAGGACGUUGGCCUUGAUGGCGGUGCAGAGACAGACGGCGGCCUCCAGGUCGACGAGCCCCGCCAGCAGCGGGCAGCAUGGCUCCGCGGGCGGCACGCCGACCUGAGCCUUGAUCAGGCCCAGCACAUUGGCGCACACGCCCAGCUUCAACGCAUCCCUGGGGCACGAGCCGUUCGACGACGACGAUGGCGUGGGUGUCGUCGGGCUGUUGGGCGCACAGGCGCUGGCUACGCCCAGCACAACCAGGUUCACGGCCAGGAACAGCGCGAACGCCUUGGACGCCAUUAUUGCUCGAUCACACCAGCUCGCGGAUCACUCUAGAGCUAAUAUGGUCAGAGAGCUCUUGACAAGUGAUUAGCAGCUAGUUUGCGAUGCUUUGAUCACGGGGUGUUACCAGGGAUACUUAUAGUCCAGCCUUAGGAUUAAGAAAUCGGUGCACUACUAGGCACGAUAGUGUUCAAAUGAACCGAGUCAUCAUAUUCAAAUAUAUACAGGUGAACCCGACCGGUGAGGAAGAGUCCGUUCUAGAUUAUUGCCUACAUCGUAUAUUUAGUGUUUUCCGUGAUACGGUAUCAAAUAUUUUGUGCACGACGACUUCGGUUGGCUCCGCAAAUGGCCAGCUCGUAUACUAAUAUUUGUUUUCAUAUGAUCAUUAGGCAUCAUUUCAGCUGGGCAUCCUGGCGGAUCCGACGGAGUGGUGCCCAGGACAUUGGAUGUCAAGCUAGCGAAGCAGCUGGUGAUUAAGAAGGAAUGUGUGGCGUGGCGCGUGCUCAUUUAGAAUGGAUGCGCAAGAACCAAGGCCAGAGGAAUAGCAUGGUCCUGAUAUACAAAUUAAACUAGCACGAUUGGAAGAAGUUUCAAAGCCACGACAAAACUCUAUAAUUCUUAUGUUUUGGUGUAGCAUUGAAAUUAUUUUUUUAGAAACCACAUUGAAACGUAAAUGAAAAUUUCGGACACAACCUUUGGGUCUACAUUGCUUGAUCACUGGCCUAUCCAUCAACUUUAAUUUGAGCCACAUGGACCAACCUUCUUAGCUCGGAAAAGUAACACUGCUGCACAAAUGAUUUCACAAGAGGCACUGGUCCCCGAUUUCACAGUCAAGGUCUGGCGCCAUCUCCGUUCUCCCUACGUUCUUCCCCGGCUCGACCUUUUUCCUCGUCUCCAUCCACCACCAUCCUUGUUGUGAGCGCCUUCCCAUGCCGCCAUCCGAGGAGGGGCUCCCUUGCCACUACGUCGUCUUCCUCGUCUUCUUUGUCGGAUGCGCCUUCUAGGUAGACCCCUCACUAAAUCCUAGCUUGGUUGUGCCUGUUAUUGCCUAAGAUGUGCCAAAGAUGAAUUGAGCUGUGAUGUCAAUUUUCAAUGUUGCUUGUUAUGCUAUUUCCUAAUUAGUGCAGUUAUCAGCAUUGCAACUUUAUUGUACAGCAUCGACCGUGACGACUACAUAGACAACCGCUAUGGCAACUAGCGUCAGCUCUGGUGCCGCUGGGUAUGUUGUUGCAAACCGUCCUUUGUUUUCUAUGAUUAGAAUCAUGAUGAUUAGUAUCAUGUACACACAUGCACAUGUCAUUAGUAUCAUGUACACACAUGCACAUGUCAGAUGUCACAAAACAUGUUAUUCAGAAUUUUCUAUAUUAAACCGGUACUUAAUUUGCAUUAAAUUUAACGGCUGUAAUGGUGAAUGAGUUCAUCGCCCGCUAGUUUUACGUCUUUUUUCAUUGCUGUCAGAAUGUGCUUCAAAUAUCUUUGGCAGAGAGACUGAGAGAGAGAGAGAGUUAGCUAGUUUUUGAAUUGCCAUGGACCCAAAUCCAAGGAUCCUGGACCAUGAAUGGAUUCUUUACCAUUAUACCAUUGGGAUUAGGAUAUAUAGUUGGGUCCAUGCAUGCUUGAUUAAUUUAUUAGUGCAGACACCAAAAACUAUCCUUUUUAUCACUACUUUCUUUAUAAUAUACACCAAAAAUUCUUUACUAAAUCUACUUCCCUCGAUCACAAACACGGUCAUGCCUAAUCUAAGUUCUAUAGCCUUUCUCUUCCUCACUGAAAAUCAACGCCAAAGUCAUCUGGAUCAUGCACAUCAUUGACAUCAGUUGUGUCUUCAAACUUUUUGUGAAAGUUACCCGCUAAAAGGUUUUUGUUUGGUUUUGGUAAUUGAACAACUUAGCUGGACUAAUAGUUUUUAUGUGAGAUACACAGGAGAUUAGUCCAUAGGUGAAUAUGUAAUGAUGGAGAAGCUCAUUGCAUAUGAGAUAUGACAUGGAGUCAUGUGACCAAGAUGGAGAAGAUCUAGAUAAGGCUUGGCUUUACGGACUGAUUGCAUGUGUGAAGGGCAAGUCGGAGGCUUUGAAGCGAGGGACCGCGUGUGACAGCGAAGCUUGAGCAAGACUUGGCAGCGUUGGAUGCUAGACCUGCGUCCGACAAUGUGGGAUAGAGUUGCACGGUGCAUUGGCGCGUCCGAAGGUUUUGCGUCGGACGCUGAUCGAGUACUAUUAAGCGUCCAACGCACGCAGCGUUUUGCGAGGUGUACGUGUAGCACGCUGGCGCGCGUCCGAUGAUCACCCGUUAGUGCGUGCGUGCAUGCAUGCAUGCAUGCUGACUAGUCGUACGUCGUACCACGUGGAAAAGCAAUCAAAUAACAACACAUAAUUCAAAAGAAAAAGUCUAUAUAACCCUCAAACUGGGGUGGACUACUUCACCCUCCAAACUAUAAAACUGGAUAUUCUACCCUCUAAACUUUCAAAACUGGUCAAAUAAUCCCUUCAGUUUUGUUGGACUCCCGAUGAGUAGAUCUACAAAGUGAAUAUAUAACAUGGUAUACUUUGGUAUAAAGUUUUUGCUGUAGCUUUAAAUCUAUGUUUUUCUAUAAUUAAUUCGAAUAAUUCAUAUAUAUAGUUCCUUUGGUUCAAUUGUCGUAAAAUUUUUAUGGUGGACUCAUUAAUGUAUACUUGAACUACAGUAAAAGUUUCAUAGUCAUUGGAUCAUGUAUAACUUGAUUCUACAAAAUAUUUGGAGAUACAAAUGUUGCUAAUAUUUAUUCUACAAAUCUUGUCAGAUGUAACAAAGCUAACAAACACGCAUGCCAUAGUCACACUCAUGAUAGGGGGGUAUACCUGUAACCAUGGGAAGAUUUAGGGGUAUUCCCCUUAUUCCCGGGAAUACCCAACUAUUUUGGUACUUUUAUGUAAAUAUGUAUAUGUAUAUAUAUAUAUAUAUAUAUAGUGCUAUAAUAUAUAGUAUUUUCGCACUUGUGAGCUCAAAACAUGUAAAAAAAAUUGGCAUUUCAAUUAGAAAUCUAUAUUCUAUAAAGCAAAUUUUGAUUUAAAGUUGCUGACUUGUAGUGCAAUUAGCUAUAUUUUAAGCCUAUAAAUUUGAUUUUGUGGAAGUGGGAAUACCCAAGUUUCAAAUGCUAACUCCGCCACUUCCUGUAACUCCUAUUAAGUAUGUGGUAGCCUGUACGUAUUCAUAUGCUCAAGUACGACAAGAAUAUAUAACCAGAACAUGCGUGCACACUGUGAAAUAAAUCGCAAACCAAACUUGAUUGGAACUUAGCACCCACAUACAAGUGAUCGCUGGCUUUUUUACAACAAAUGGAAAAAAUACAAAAGUGACAGCAUGGCCGGCCAUGCGUGCGUGCAGGCAUGCAUGUAUGGUGACUGCUGUACUAUGUGGAAAAGCAAUCAAAUAACAACGCAUCAUUUAAAUCGAGCUAAAAUUAAAAGACAAGAUGUCUCAUAUGUAUGUGCGUCGGCCCAUGCAUUGCAUGGCAUGCGCUCAUUAGCACAUGAAGCCGGUGGGCACGGUCUUGCCGCAGUAGUUGAGGAUGAGGCUGAGAUCGAGUGGCACGUUGAGGUUGAUGCCGAGGACGUUGGCCUUGAUGGCGGUGCAGAGACAGACGGCGGCCUCCAGGUCGACGAGCCCCGCCAGCAGCGGGCAGCAUGGCUCCGCGGGCGGCACGCCGACCUGAGCCUUGAUCAGGCCCAGCACGUUGGCGCACACGCCCAGCUUCAACGCGUCCCUGGGGCACGAGCCGGACGACGACGACGAUGGCGUGGGUGUCGUCGGGCUGUUGGGCGCACAGGCGCUGGCUACGCCCAGCACAACUAGGUUCACGGCCAGGAACAGCGCGAACGCCUUGGACGUCAUUACUGCUCGAUCACAAGCCAGCUACCAAGCUCGCGGAUCACUCUAGAGCUAAUGUAGUUAGGGAGCUCUUGACAAGUGAUUAGCAGCUUGUUUGCGAUUCUUUGAUCAUGGGGUGUUACCAGGGGUACUUAUAGUCCAGCCUCGGGAUUAAGAAAUUAGCGCACUACUAGGCACGAUAGUGUUGUUCAUAUGAACCCGACCAUCAUAUUCGAAUACAUAUGCAGGUAAACCCGGCCGGUGAGGAAGAGUUCGUUCUGAAUUAUUUGCCUAUAUUGUAUAACUAGUGUUAUCCAUGAUACGGUAUCAAAUAUUUUGUGCACGGCUUCGGUUGGCUCCGCAAAUGGCCAGCUCGUAUACUAGCAUUUGUUUUCGUAUGAUCAUUAGGUGUCAUUUCAGCUCGGGAUCCUGCCGUAUCCGAAGGAGUGGUGCGCAGGACAUUGGAUGUCAAGCUAGCAAAGCAGCUGGUGAUUAAGAAUGAAUGCGUGGCGUGGCGCGUGGUCAUUAAGAAUGGGUGGGCAGGAACCAAGGCUACCUAGAGGAAUAGCAUGGUCCUGGUAUACAAAUUAAACUAGCUGGAUUGAAUGAAGUUUCAAUACUACAGAUUCAGUUAUCACUGCCGGCCUCAUCAUUUAUGGAAUUAGGAGAACCGGUAGUGAUGGCCCUUUACUUCCGGUUCUAGGCCCUGACAACCAAAAAAUGCUUGGGGGUGUGACAGAACCGGCAGUGAUGACAACUGUCAUUGUCGGUUUGCAUCUCUAACCAGCAGUGACUUGACGGCCACUAGCCAAGAACCGAUGGUGAGAUGGCAGAAGAAUAACGCCAGUGGCGGAUCUAGAGAAAUUUGGAGGGGGUAUGAUCAUAAAUAAUGCACCUAGCAACCGAUCACAUGUUUAUUUUUCUAUGGCGUGGUGUGUUGCCACUUGCCACCGAUCACAAGUUUUUUAGACCAUAAUAGGAGUUUGCUAAAAAAUUUUUUUUUUCUUUUGCACGGUGAUCCAAUAUAUUAUUAGAAUGAAUGCCUCAUAAUAUAUAAAAGAGCUGUGAAGUUGCGGUCAUGCUUGUAGUUUUUCUUCCGCGUCUUUUAGGGAUGGUGCUUGUACCAAUUUUGGUGCUUCCCCCAAACUAAUAUAUAUAUUACUUUUUAUAAAUUAAUUCUACAUCAUUUUCUAGCUCCAUCGGUUGUCCCAUAUUAAAAUCACGAAAUGGAUCUCUUUGGAUGGAAAGUGGGCUGAGCAAACAAGCAACAGAAACCAAUUUAUUUCCUUCAUCUUUUUUCAUAAAUAUCAAUUAUGAAACAUCAGAGAAAGAAAAAAGUCUAAUCCUAGAAUUUGGACAAACUAGUAAGAAGGAAAGAACCACAAAAUUAAAGACAAUUUGGAUGCUCAUAAGACCGAAAUUGGAAGAAUAGAGAACCUUGAAAGUUGCUUACUUUGACUUUUGAAUGAUGAACAUAAUAUUGAAGAUCAUAGCCAGGGAAACGGGGCGAACUAUGAUGUGCUCUUGGUGCCCUUGACUCUAAGGCUACAAGCUUGGACAGAGCACAACAAUGCCCAUGGCCAAUCGGCCAUGGUCGACGACCAGUGGUAGUAGGUCACCAUCCACCGGAGUUCACGCUGUCGCCAAGGGGAGGCGAUGCGUCGGCAGUUUUUGUAACACCCAAAAAUUUGUUUUUGAAUUAAUAGGAUUUAAUGAGAAUUAUUUAAGCAAUUUUUGUGGGCAUUUAAUCUAGUAAAUAAAAUAUUUUUGUCAAAAUUAAAAUUUAUUAUAAGUUUAGAAACUUGAAUCUUGCAUUCAUGCUGGAUCAUAGUAUUUUUUGUGUGUUGUUCCUGUUUUUAUUUUAUUGUUUGUGCUUUCAAAAUGCUAUUUGGAAAAGGUUUUGGAAAAGAAAACAUAAAAGAAAUUGAAAAAAAAGGGAAAGGGGGAAGCCCUCCCUGUCGGCCUGGCGGCCCAGCCAGCGCCUGGCUUUCUCCCCCCAACCCGCGGCCCAGCUUACGGCCCAGGGCGAGCAGGCGCGCCCCACUUCCCUCCCUCUCCCUCCUUUCUGCGGCUGACGACACGGGCCCACGCGUCAGCGCCUAUCUCCUUCUUCCCAGCGUGGACGAGCCGGUUUCGGCCGGGAGACUCUCCAGCGCCGAACCGAAUCCGGGGAAGCGGGAUUUCCUUGCCAAUUUGGCUAAACUGCGCCCUUUUAAGCCCCUGCGCACCGCGGCGAGUUCUCAUCUGCAUCCUAAUCGCGAAACCGAGCCCUAGCCGCCCUAAACCACGCGAAUUGGAUCUCGCCGACAGCCGCGCACAUCCUUCACCGUGACGAGCACUAUCCCCUUCCAAUCAGCGCGAACCGAGCGUCUAGGUGAGUUCGCGUGAAGCUUCUCCGCGUCCCGGUGUUUUUCUUUCUUGAAACGGUGCUCGGAAACGAGAAGUCCGCGGACGCCGGCGAGCUCGACCUCCCUGUCCAUGGCGACCACCGCGCCAGAGAGGAGGCAGACGGCCGGCCGUCGCCUGGCCCCUCCCUGGUGGCCUGGGGACCGUCCAUCUGAAGAUCAAGGGCCCAGAUUAAAACAUACCCCUUCGCCAGGAAAAAUUGUUAAAGAGCCUCUGGAGUUUUUGCUAUUCAACUCGCCAUCCUUUACAUAUUUCGAGUUUACGUUUCCUUUCGGAAAGCGUAUUCUGGUCGGCUGAAUCUAAAAUACGUUUUCAGUUAUUUCAGUUAAUUACAGAAUGCCAUUGGAUUUGUUUUGCUUAUAAAAUAUUCAUAUUAACUCCGUUUUUGUCCAUUCAAAUUCCGUUAGAUUCGUAAUUACAUGCUCUACAUGUUAGAAAUGUUAGUUUACUGUUUUGGAACCUUUUAAUUUCCUGGUACUAUUUAAUUAAUUAUUUCUCUAUAGGAAAUCUUAGAAAAUUCAUAUCUUUCACGUUUUAAUUCCGAUUUUCGUGAACUUUACGUUUAUGUGAUCAUAGCGCUGCGUAGAAUAUUUUGAUAAGCUUUUAUAUUUGUUUUACUACUGUUUGGUGUAUUGUUCUAAUAAUAGCUUGUUUGCUUCGUGUAUGAUUGUCUACAUUGGAUUGCGUGUUGUUGAUUGAUGAUUGGGAAUAGACGGUGAGCCGUACGUUGGUGAUCAAGACCAAGCUUUUGAAGACCAGCAAGCUCAGAAGAGCUUUGAGCAAGGCAAGUAUAACUUGGGAUCAUCCUUGUUACCUAUUCACUUAUGACUACACAUAUAUAUCAUAUGCAUGCUAUCACCUUGUCGACCUUAGCAAAAUCAUAGAUGUUUGUUACCUGUAUUCCUUGUUACCUACUUGAUAUGCAUUUGGUGUAGAUGUGCUAGUGCUUGAUAUAAUCUAUGAUCUUGUAAGAUAAUUAAUAGCUAUGCAAUGAACGUUAAAAGAUGACAAAUAACUAUAUGAGAUCUUGUCUGUAAGUGAUCACCGGGACAACAGUGCAACCAUGAGGGCUAUAAUGGCUCUGGCUUUAGCUCAGUAUGAAGACUUUUCUAGCUUGUUAGAGGUUACCCGAAAGGGCGGAGGGGCUGAACCGUUUUGGGUAUAGUGCGAGCCUCUGUCCCUAUGUGUAUAGGCUGCGCGUCAUUGUGCCAUUCGGAAAAGGGUAUCUAUAUCUGCGCGCAAAGGAAACCUUGCGGCCCUAACAUGUUAGACGAACUUUUGAAAGGCUUCAUAGUGAUCCCUGCCGACCUCCCUAGGAAGGGGGUUAAGAGAUUAGCUACCUCGGGCGAAAGGGUAAAUCAUGACUCAUGGGUAAAGAUGUACAAACUCUGCAGAGUGUAAAACUGGUAUACUAGCCGUGCUCACGGUUAUGAGCAGCCUUGGAGGUUCUUGCUGCGCCGACGAUGAGCUUAUUAAGUUGUUAUGUCCAUUUGAUUAUCGUUUAUGCUAUGAGAUUAAUUAUGCUUACACUUGAUCAUGUGAUUAAUGGAUUAUUUAUGCUACCUUGAUAUUUGCUAUCCAAUGAUUAAACAUGUUAUCCACUAUUAAAAGCUAAAUGCAGUCAAACCAGUGUCAGCUAUUUGAGCCUCAUGAACCCCUGGUUAUACUUGUUGAGUACGAUAUGUGCUCACUCUUGCAAUUUCCCAACACCUCAGGUUAUGUUAAUGAUGAUGCUUGGAAUGAGGAUUACCGUUAUGAGUACUAGGUUUGGAGUCAACCAGUCAACAGUGUCCCUGUGUGGAGCUUCCGUCGAGAGCGUUGUUUACUUUAUGCUAUCAUUUUUGUAUGAGACUAUGUGAGUUCCGCUAUGUAAUAAACACUGCAAUGGUACUUUUGAGAUUUGUCUACUUAUGUGUGCGACUGUUUCUGGGACACAUAUGAGUCUUUUAUGCAUCCUAUUUUGUUCUUAAAAUAUGGGUGUGACAGUUUUGCCCGAGUUGAAGUGGCGUCCGAGUUGUCGAUGAUUCCAUGCGGACAGGGGCCUGGCUGAUAUUGGGCUAUGUGUUGAGGAGUUGUGGGCUGUUGUGGCCUCUCUCGAUCGACUCAGCAGAGUUGUGGGUGCAGAUGUUUGGAUUCAGGGGGUGCGAAUACCAUAGAAACAUGCAAAGUAUAGCAUAUUUUGUAUUUUUGUCUGGGUGUGGCCGCACCCAGUAGAUCCUAUAUGGAUCCGCCCAUGUAUAGAAGCUCAUUGCAUAUGAGAUAUGACAUGGAGUCAUGUGACCAAGAUGGAGAAGAUCUAGAUAAGGCUUGGCUUGACGGACUGAUUGCAUGUGUGAAGGGCAAGUCGGAGGCUUUGAAGCGAGGGACCGCGUGUGACAGCGAAGCUUGAGCAAGACUUGGCAGCGUUGGAUGCUAGACCUGCGUCCGACAAUGUGGGAUAGAGUUGCACGGUGCAUUGGCGCGUCCGAAGGUUUUGCGUCGGACGCUGAUCGAGUACUAUUAAGCGUCCAACGCACGCAGCGUUUUGCGAGGUGUACGUGUAGCACGCUGGCGCGCGUCCGAUGAUCACCCGUUAGUGCGUGCGUGCAUGCAUGCAUGCAUGCUGACUAGUCGUACGUCGUACCACGUGGAAAAGCAAUCAAAUAACAACACAUAAUUCAAAAGAAAAAGUCUAUAUAACCCUCAAACUGGGGUGGACUACUUCACCCUCCAAACUAUAAAACUGGAUAUUCUACCCUCUAAACUUUCAAAACUGGUCAAAUAAUCCCUUCAGUUUUGUUGGACUCCCGAUGAGUAGAUCUACAAAGUGAAUAUAUAACAUGGUAUACUUUGGUAUAAAGUUUUUGCUGUAGCUUUAAAUCUAUGUUUUUCUAUAAUUAAUUCGAAUAAUUCAUAUAUAUAGUUCCUUUGGUUCAAUUGUCGUAAAAUUUUUAUGGUGGACUCAUUAAUGUAUACUUGAACUACAGUAAAAGUUUCAUAGUCAUUGGAUCAUGUAUAACUUGAUUCUACAAAAUAUUUGGAGAUACAAAUGUUGCUAAUAUUUAUUCUACAAAUCUUGUCAGAUGUAACAAAGCUAACAAACACGCAUGCCAUAGUCACACUCAUGAUAGGGGGGUAUACCUGUAACCAUGGGCAGAUUUAGGGGUAUUCCCCUUAUUCCCGGGAAUACCCAACUAUUUUGGUACUUUUAUGUAAAUAUGUAUAUGUAUAUAUAUAUAUAUAUAGUGCUAUAAUAUAUAGUAUUUUCGCACUUGUGAGCUCAAAACAUGUAAAAAAAAUUGGCAUUUCAAUUAGAAAUCUAUAUUCUAUAAAGCAAAUUUUGGUUUAAAGUUGCUGACUUGUAGUGCAAUUAGCUAUAUUUUAAGCCUAUAAAUUUGAUUUUGUGGAAGUGGGAAUACCCAAGUUUCAAAUCCUAACUCCGCCACUUCCUGUAACUCCUAUUAAGUAUGUGGUAGCCUGUACGUAUUCAUAUGCUCAAGUACGACAAGAAUAUAUAACCAGAACAUGCGUGCACACUGUGAAAUAAAUCGCAAACCAAACUUGAUUGGAACUUAGCACCCACAUACAAGUGAUCGCUGGCUUUUUUACAACAAAUGGAAAAAAUACAAAAGUGACAGCAUGGCCGGCCAUGCGUGCGUGCAGGCAUGCAUGUAUGGUGACUGCUGUACUAUGUGGAAAAGCAAUCAAAUAACAACGCAUCAUUUAAAUCGAGCUAAAAUUAAAAGACAAGAUGUCUCAUAUGUAUGUGCGUCGGCCCAUGCAUUGCAUGGCAUGCGCUCAUUAGCACAUGAAGCCGGUGGGCACGGUCUUGCCGCAGUAGUUGAGGAUGAGGCUGAGAUCGAGUGGCACGUUGAGGUUGAUGCCGAGGACGUUGGCCUUGAUGGCGGUGCAGAGACAGACGGCGGCCUCCAGGUCGACGAGCCCCGCCAGCAGCGGGCAGCAUGGCUCCGCGGGCGGCACGCCGACCUGAGCCUUGAUCAGGCCCAGCACGUUGGCGCACACGCCCAGCUUCAACGCGUCCCUGGGGCACGAGCCGGACGACGACGACGAUGGCGUGGGUGUCGUCGGGCUGUUGGGCGCACAGGCGCUGGCUACGCCCAGCACAACUAGGUUCACGGCCAGGAACAGCGCGAACGCCUUGGACGUCAUUACUGCUCGAUCACAAGCCAGCUACCAAGCUCGCGGAUCACUCUAGAGCUAAUGUAGUUAGGGAGCUCUUGACAAGUGAUUAGCAGCUUGUUUGCGAUUCUUUGAUCAUGGGGUGUUACCAGGGGUACUUAUAGUCCAGCCUCGGGAUUAAGAAAUUAGCGCACUACUAGGCACGAUAGUGUUGUUCAUAUGAACCCGACCAUCAUAUUCGAAUACAUAUGCAGGUAAACCCGGCCGGUGAGGAAGAGUUCGUUCUGAAUUAUUUGCCUAUAUUGUAUAACUAGUGUUAUCCAUGAUACGGUAUCAAAUAUUUUGUGCACGGCUUCGGUUGGCUCCGCAAAUGGCCAGCUCGUAUACUAGCAUUUGUUUUCGUAUGAUCAUUAGGUGUCAUUUCAGCUCGGGAUCCUGCCGUAUCCGAAGGAGUGGUGCGCAGGACAUUGGAUGUCAAGCUAGCAAAGCAGCUGGUGAUUAAGAAUGAAUGCGUGGCGUGGCGCGUGGUCAUUAAGAAUGGGUGGGCAGGAACCAAGGCUACCUAGAGGAAUAGCAUGGUCCUGGUAUACAAAUUAAACUAGCUGGAUUGAAUGAAGUUUCAAUACUACAGAUUCAGUUAUCACUGCCGGCCUCAUCAUUUAUGGAAUUAGGAGAACCGGUAGUGAUGGCCCUUUACUUCCGGUUCUAGGCCCUGACAACCAAAAAAUGCUUGGGGGUGUGACAGAACCGGCAGUGAUGACAACUGUCAUUGUCGGUUUGCAUCUCUAACCAGCAGUGACUUGACGGCCACUAGCCAAGAACCGAUGGUGAGAUGGCAGAAGAAUAACGCCAGUGGCGGAUCUAGAGAAAUUUGGAGGGGGUAUGAUCAUAAAUAAUGCACCUAGCAACCGAUCACAUGUUUAUUUUUCUAUGGCGUGGUGUGUUGCCACUUGCCACCGAUCACAAGUUUUUUAGACCAUAAUAGGAGUUUGCUAAAAAAAAAUUUUUUUCUUUUGCACGGUGAUCCAAUAUAUUAUUAGAAUGAAUGCCUCAUAAUAUAUAAAAGAGCUGUGAAGUUGCGGUCAUGCUUGUAGUUUUUCUUCCGCGUCUUUUAGGGAUGGUGCUUGUACCAAUUUUGGUGCUUCCCCCAAACUAAUAUAUAUAUUACUUUUUAUAAAUUAAUUCUACAUCAUUUUCUAGCUCCAUCGGUUGUCCCAUAUUAAAAUCACGAAAUGGAUCUCUUUGGAUGGAAAGUGGGCUGAGCAAACAAGCAACAGAAACCAAUUUAUUUCCUUCAUCUUUUUUCAUAAAUAUCAAUUAUGAAACAUCAGAGAAAGAAAAAAGUCUAAUCCUAGAAUUUGGACAAACUAGUAAGAAGGAAAGAACCACAAAAUUAAAGACAAUUUGGAUGCUCAUAAGACCGAAAUUGGAAGAAUAGAGAACCUUGAAAGUUGCUUACUUUGACUUUUGAAUGAUGAACAUAAUAUUGAAGAUCAUAGCCAGGGCAACGGGGCGAACUAUGAUGUGCUCUUGGUGCCCUUGACCCUAAGGCUACAAGCUUGGACAGAGCACAACAAUGCCCAUGGCCAAUCGGCCAUGGUCGACGACCAGUGGUAGUAGGUCACCAUCCACCGGAGUUCACGCUGUCGCCAAGGGGAGGCGAUGCGUCGGCAGUUUUUGUAACACCAAAAAAUUUGUUUUUGAAUUAAUAGGAUUUAAUGAGAAUUAUUUAAGCAAUUUUUGUGGGCAUUUAAUCUAGUAAAUAAAAUAUUUUUGUCAAAAUUAAAAUUUAUUAUAAGUUUAGAAACUUGAAUCUUGCAUUCAUGCUGGAUCAUAGUAUUUUUUGUGUGUUGUUCCUGUUUUUAUUUUAUUGUUUGUGCUUUCAAAAUGCUAUUUGGAAAAGGUUUUGGAAAAGAAAACAUAAAAGAAAUUGAAAAAAAAGAGAAAGGGGGAAGCCCUCCCUGUCGGCCUGGCGGCCCAGCCAGCGCCUGGCUUUCUCCCCCCAACCCGCGGCCCAGCUUACGGCCCAGGGCGAGCAGGCGCGCCCCACUUCCCUCCCUCUCCCUCCUUUCUGCGGCUGACGACACGGGCCCACGCGUCAGCGCCUAUCUCCUUCUUCCCAGCGUGGACGAGCCGGUUUCGGCCGGGAGACUCUCCAGCGCCGAACCGAAUCCGGGGAAGCGGGAUUUCCUUGCCAAUUUGGCUAAACUGCGCCCUUUUAAGCCCCUGCGCACCGCGGCGAGUUCUCAUCUGCAUCCUAAUCGCGAAACCGAGCCCUAGCCGCCCUAAACCACGCGAAUUGGAUCUCGCCGACAGCCGCGCACAUCCUUCACCGUGACGAGCACUAUCCCCUUCCAAUCAGCGCGAACCGAGCGUCUAGGUGAGUUCGCGUGAAGCUUCUCCGCGUCCCGGUGUUUUUCUUUCUUGAAACGGUGCUCGGAAACGAGAAGUCCGCGGACGCCGGCGAGCUCGACCUCCCUGUCCAUGGCGACCACCGCGCCAGAGAGGAGGCAGACGGCCGGCCGUCGCCUGGCCCCUCCCUGGUGGCCUGGGGACCGUCCAUCUGAAGAUCAAGAGCCCAGAUUAAAACAUACCCCUUCGCCAGGAAAAAUUGUUAAAGAGCCUCUGGAGUUUUUGCUAUUCAACUCGCCAUCCUUUACAUAUUUCGAGUUUACGUUUCCUUUCAGAAAGCGUAUUCUGGUCGGCUGAAUCUAAAAUACGUUUUCAGUUAUUUCAGUUAAUUACAGAAUGCCACUGGAUUUGUUUUGCUUAUAAAAUAUUCAUAUUAACUCCGUUUUUGUCCAUUCAAAUUCCGUUAGAUUCGUAAUUACAUGCUCUACAUGUUAGAAAUGUUAGUUUACUGUUUUGGAACCUUUUAAUUUCCUGGUACUAUUUAAUUAAUUAUUUCUCUAUAGGAAAUCUUAGAAAAUUCAUAUCUUUCACGUUUUAAUUCCGAUUUUCGUGAACUUUACGUUUAUGUGAUCAUAGCGCUGCGUAGAAUAUUUUGAUAAGCUUUUAUAUUUGUUUUACUACUGUUUGGUGUAUUGUUCUAAUAAUAGCUUGUUUGCUUCGUGUAUGAUUGUCUACAUUGGAUUGCGUGUUGUUGAUUGAUGAUUGGGAAUAGACGGUGAGCCGUACGUUGGUGAUCAAGACCAAGCUUUUGAAGACCAGCAAGCUCAGAAGAGCUUUGAGCAAGGCAAGUAUAACUUGGGAUCAUCCUUGUUACCUAUUCACUUAUGACUACACAUAUAUAUCAUAUGCAUGCUAUCACCUUGUCGACCUUAGCAAAAUCAUAGAUGUUUGUUACCUGUAUUCCUUGUUACCUACUUGAUAUGCAUUUGGUGUAGAUGUGCUAGUGCUUGAUAUAAUCUAUGAUCUUGUAAGAUAAUUAAUAGCUAUGCAAUGAACGUUAAAAGAUGACAAAUAACUAUAUGAGAUCUUGUCUGUAAGUGAUCACCGGGACAACAGUGCAACCAUGAGGGCUAUAAUGGCUCUGGCUUUAGCUCAGUAUGAAGACUUUUCUAGCUUGUUAGAGGUUACCCGAAAGGGCGGAGGGGCUGAACCGUUUUGGGUAUAGUGCGAGCCCCUGUCCCUAUGUGUAUAGGCUGCGCGUCAUUGUGCCAUUCGGAAAAGGGUAUCUAUAUCUGCGCGCAAAGGAAACCUUGCGGCCCUAACAUGUUAGACGAACUUUUGAAAGGCUUCAUAGUGAUCCCUGCCGACCUCCCUAGGAAGGGGGUUAAGAGAUUAGCUACCUCGGGCGAAAGGGUAAAUCAUGACUCAUGGGUAAAGAUGUACAAACUCUGCAGAGUGUAAAACUGGUAUACUAGCCGUGCUCACGGUUAUGAGCAGCCUUGGAGGUUCUUGCUGCGCCGACGAUGAGCUUAUUAAGUUGUUAUGUCCAUUUGAUUAUCGUUUAUGCUAUGAGAUUAAUUAUGCUUACACUUGAUCAUGUGAUUAAUGGAUUAUUUAUGCUACCUUGAUAUUUGCUAUCCAAUGAUUAAACAUGUUAUCCACUAUUAAAAGCUAAAUGCAGUCAAACCAGUGUCAGCUAUUUGAGCCUCAUGAACCCCUGGUUAUACUUGUUGAGUACGAUAUGUGCUCACUCUUGCAAUUUCCCAACACCUCAGGUUAUGUUAAUGAUGAUGCUUGGAAUGAGGAUUACCGUUAUGAGUACUAGGUUUGGAGUCAACCAGUCAACAGUGUCCCUGUGUGGAGCUUCCGUCGAGAGCGUUGUUUACUUUAUGCUAUCAUUUUUGUAUGAGACUAUGUGAUUUAUUAUGUUCCGCUAUGUAAUAAACACUGCAAUGGUACUUUUGAGAUUUGUCUACUUAUGUGUGCGACUGUUUCUGGGACACAUAUGAGUCUUUUAUGCAUCCUAUUUUGUUCUUAAAAUAUGGGUGUGACAGUUUUGCCCGAGUUGAAGUGGCGUCCGAGUUGUCGAUGAUUCCAUGCGGACAGGGGCCUGGCUGAUAUUGGGCUAUGUGUUGAGGAGUUGUGGGCUGUUGUGGCCUCUCUCGAUCGACUCAGCAGAGUUGUGGGUGCAGAUGUUUGGAUUCAGGGGGUGCGAAUACCAUAGAAACAUGCAAAGUAUAGCAUAUUUUGUAUUUUUGUCUGGGUGUGGCCGCACCCAGUAGAUCCUAUAUGGAUCCGCCCAUGUAUAACGCACAUGGAGAAAAGACACAGGUGGCAAAGCAAGACAAGCAUGGCUGAGGGACAGAGGCGGCGAAGCGGUGUGCAUCAUCCAUGGGGACGGAAGAGUGAUGCAUUAGUGGCUCAUGCAUGGAUGAGGAAGAGAGGAGGCAGUUGAGUGGCUCUUAGUUCGCAGACGACUUAACUCCGGGUCUGUAUAGUUCAACUGUCACCAGAUAACUAUGAAAAAGCUCAUGUGAGCUAUGCGCUCUAGAAAAAUUAUAAGUUGUUUGGUUAAAGCAACUACAAAACCUAUUAGGGGUGGAUCUAGCACGUAGUCGAGCGGCGUCGAGCCCCUCUUACUGCCAUUGGAAAUGUAAAGCCUCUCCUAUAAGUUUGUAGCUAUUAAAGUUUAAAAGAAAUUGCUAAAUGCAAAAGAUAAGGAGGAUGAGCCCCUCAUACCUAUCCAAUCUAAUCUCUCUUGAAAUGAUUAUGAAAUGUUGCUAUAUUUCCACCCAUUUGGAAGUUGGAAUAACUGAAAGCAAGAAGUAGGGUUCAAGGUGGGAAAAUUAUACUGUGAAAGCAGUAGCUUCUAAAAAAAUAGCUUUAGAUGUUUUAUCGGUUAACACCACCACAAUAGCAAUUUUCCUAGGUGACCAUAAUUGGUUUUUGGAGUCGGGCAGCCAGUACGUCUGCCUCUGCUUCAACACCACUAUAAAUCAAGAUUUAUGCAGGCGGACACUUGCUUGUCUCUGUUAACAAAAUAAGAAAUGACAUGCGCAUCAAUGAGGUCCUCCAAGCCUAUCCACAAGGCCCACCGAGCCCAUUCACGUGCUACCAUUGUCGCCGGAUCCGCUCGUCGGAUCCACGCUCACUAGAGGAAGGGAGCCGCGUGCUACCGGCAGAGGGCCUGCGUGCCAUCGCCGAUGGCCCCAAACGCUGCGCUGGAGGAAGUGUGGAUCGCGCACCACUGCUAGUGGCCGCAUGCACUGCGCCACCGUCUGAUUUUUGUCCGACACCCCGCACCACCGUCUGACAAAUAGUAUCAUUCUCACCUUCUGAGAAGUUAAACAUUUUAAAUUUUGACUAAAUAUAUAUACAGAAAUAUUAGUAUUUAUGGUGUAAAAUUAGUAUCAUUAGAUAGAUCGGUAAAUAUAUUUUUAUUAUAAACUACGUGAAGAUGUAAAUAUUGAUAAUAUUUAUUUUACAUAAUUUGUCAGAUUCAAGAAAGCUUACCAACACACAUUCCUUCUCAGUGACACUCAAGAGAAUAAGUACGUGGUAGACAGUACGUUUUCAUAUGCUCAAGUACGACUAGAAUAUAACCAGAACAUGCAUGCGAAACUGUGAAAUAAAUCGCAAACCAAACUUGAUUGGAACUUAGCACCGGCAUACAAGUGAUCGCCGGCUUUUUUUCAACAAAUGAAAAAAAUACAAUUUGACAGCACGGCCGGCCAUGCGUGCAUGCAUGUAUGCUGACUAGUCGUACAUCAUACUACGUGGAAAAGCAAUCAAAUAACAACGCAUCAUUAAAACCGAGCUGAAAUUAAAAGACAAGAUGUCUCAAGGCGCUGAGAUCCAGGCGCUCAUCAGCACAUGAAGCCGGUGGGCACGGUCUUGCCGCAGUAGUUGAGGAUGAGGCUGAGAUCGAGUGGCACGUUGAGGUUGAUGCCGAGGACGUUGGCCUUGAUGGCGGUGCAGAGACAGACGGCGGCCUCCAGGUCGACGAGCCCCGCCAGCAGCGGGCAGCAUGGCUCCGCGGGCGGCACGCCGACCUGAGCCUUGAUCAGGCCCAGCACAUUGGCGCACACGCCCAGCUUCAACGCAUCCCUGGGGCACGAGCCGUUCGACGACGACGAUGGCGUGGGUGUCGUCGGGCUGUUGGGCGCACAGGCGCUGGCUACGCCCAGCACAACCAGGUUCACGGCCAGGAACAGCGCGAACGCCUUGGACGCCAUUAUUGCUCGAUCACACCAGCUCGCGGAUCACUCUAGAGCUAAUAUGGUCAGAGAGCUCUUGACAAGUGAUUAGCAGCUAGUUUGCGAUGCUUUGAUCACGGGGUGUUACCAGGGAUACUUAUAGUCCAGCCUUAGGAUUAAGAAAUCGGUGCACUACUAGGCACGAUAGUGUUCAAAUGAACCGAGUCAUCAUAUUCAAAUAUAUACAGGUGAACCCGACCGGUGAGGAAGAGUCCGUUCUAGAUUAUUGCCUACAUCGUAUAUUUAGUGUUUUCCGUGAUACGGUAUCAAAUAUUUUGUGCACGACGACUUCGGUUGGCUCCGCAAAUGGCCAGCUCGUAUACUAAUAUUUGUUUUCAUAUGAUCAUUAGGCAUCAUUUCAGCUGGGCAUCCUGGCGGAUCCGACGGAGUGGUGCCCAGGACAUUGGAUGUCAAGCUAGCGAAGCAGCUGGUGAUUAAGAAGGAAUGUGUGGCGUGGCGCGUGCUCAUUUAGAAUGGAUGCGCAAGAACCAAGGCCAGAGGAAUAGCAUGGUCCUGAUAUACAAAUUAAACUAGCACGAUUGGAAGAAGUUUCAAAGCCACGACAAAACUCUAUAAUUCUUAUGUUUUGGUGUAGCAUUGAAAUUAUUUUUUUAGAAACCACAUUGAAACGUAAAUGAAAAUUUCGGACACAACCUUUGGGUCUACAUUGCUUGAUCACUGGCCUAUCCAUCAACUUUAAUUUGAGCCACAUGGACCAACCUUCUUAGCUCGGAAAAGUAACACUGCUGCACAAAUGAUUUCACAAGAGGCACUGGUCCCCGAUUUCACAGUCAAGGUCUGGCGCCAUCUCCGUUCUCCCUACGUUCUUCCCCGGCUCGACCUUUUUCCUCGUCUCCAUCCACCACCAUCCUUGUUGUGAGCGCCUUCCCAUGCCGCCAUCCGAGGAGGGGCUCCCUUGCCACUACGUCGUCUUCCUCGUCUUCUUUGUCGGAUGCGCCUUCUAGGUAGACCCCUCACUAAAUCCUAGCUUGGUUGUGCCUGUUAUUGCCUAAGAUGUGCCAAAGAUGAAUUGAGCUGUGAUGUCAAUUUUCAAUGUUGCUUGUUAUGCUAUUUCCUAAUUAGUGCAGUUAUCAGCAUUGCAACUUUAUUGUACAGCAUCGACCGUGACGACUACAUAGACAACCGCUAUGGCAACUAGCGUCAGCUCUGGUGCCGCUGGGUAUGUUGUUGCAAACCGUCCUUUGUUUUCUAUGAUUAGAAUCAUGAUGAUUAGUAUCAUGUACACACAUGCACAUGUCAUUAGUAUCAUGUACACACAUGCACAUGUCAGAUGUCACAAAACAUGUUAUUCAGAAUUUUCUAUAUUAAACCGGUACUUAAUUUGCAUUAAAUUUAACGGCUGUAAUGGUGAAUGAGUUCAUCGCCCGCUAGUUUUACGUCUUUUUUCAUUGCUGUCAGAAUGUGCUUCAAAUAUCUUUGGCAGAGAGACUGAGAGAGAGAGAGAGUUAGCUAGUUUUUGAAUUGCCAUGGACCCAAUUCCAAGGAUCCUGGACCAUGAAUGGAUUAUUUACCAUUAUACCAUUGGGAUUAGGAUAUAUAGUUGGGUCCAUGCAUGCUUGAUUAAUUUAUUAGUGCAGACACCAAAAACUAUCCUUUUUAUCACUACUUUCUUUAUAAUAUACACCAAAAAUUCUUUACUAAAUCUACUUCCCUCGAUCACAAACACGGUCAUGCCUAAUCUAAGUUCUAUAGCCUUUCUCUUCCUCACUGAAAAUCAACGCCAAAGUCAUCUGGAUCAUGCACAUCAUUGACAUCAGUUGUGUCUUCAAACUUUUUGUGAAAGUUACCCGCUAAAAGGUUUUUGUUUGGUUUUGGUAAUUGAACAACUUAGCUGGACUAAUAGUUUUUAUGUGAGAUACACAGGAGAUUAGUCCAUAGGUGAAUAUGUAAUGAUGGAGAAGCUCAUUGCAUAUGAGAUAUGACAUGGAGUCAUGUGACCAAGAUGGAGAAGAUCUAGAUAAGGCUUGGCUUGAUGGACUGAUUGCAUGUGUGAAGGGCAAGUCGGAGGCUUUGAAGCGAGGGACCGCGUGUGACAGCGAAGCUUGAGCAAGACUUGGCAGCGUUGGAUGCUAGACCUGCGUCCGACAAUGUGGGAUAGAGUUGCACGGUGCAUUGGCGCGUCCGAAGGUUUUGCGUCGGACGCUGAUCGAGUACUAUUAAGCGUCCAACGCACGCAGCGUUUUGCGAGGUGUACGUGUAGCACGCUGGCGCGCGUCCGAUGAUCACCCGUUAGUGCGUGCGUGCAUGCAUGCAUGCAUGCUGACUAGUCGUACGUCGUACCACGUGGAAAAGCAAUCAAAUAACAACACAUAAUUCAAAAGAAAAAGUCUAUAUAACCCUCAAACUGGGGUGGACUACUUCACCCUCCAAACUAUAAAACUGGAUAUUCUACCCUCUAAACUUUCAAAACUGGUCAAAUAAUCCCUUCAGUUUUGUUGGACUCCCGAUGAGUAGAUCUACAAAGUGAAUAUAUAACAUGGUAUACUUUGGUAUAAAGUUUUUGCUGUAGCUUUAAAUCUAUGUUUUUCUAUAAUUAAUUCGAAUAAUUCAUAUAUAUAGUUCCUUUGGUUCAAUUGUCGUAAAAUUUUUAUGGUGGACUCAUUAAUGUAUACUUGAACUACAGUAAAAGUUUCAUAGUCAUUGGAUCAUGUAUAACUUGAUUCUACAAAAUAUUUGGAGAUACAAAUGUUGCUAAUAUUUAUUCUACAAAUCUUGUCAGAUGUAACAAAGCUAACAAACACGCAUGCCAUAGUCACACUCAUGAUAGGGGGGUAUACCUGUAACCAUGGGCAGAUUUAGGGGUAUUCCCCUUAUUCCCGGGAAUACCCAACUAUUUUGGUACUUUUAUGUAAAUAUGUAUAUGUAUAUAUAUAUAUAUAUAUAGUGCUAUAAUAUAUAGUAUUUUCGCACUUGUGAGCUCAAAACAUGUAAAAAAAAUUGGCAUUUCAAUUAGAAAUCUAUAUUCUAUAAAGCAAAUUUUGAUUUAAAGUUGCUGACUUGUAGUGCAAUUAGCUAUAUUUUAAGCCUAUAAAUUUGAUUUUGUGGAAGUGGGAAUACCCAAGUUUCAAAUGCUAACUCCGCCACUUCCUGUAACUCCUAUUAAGUAUGUGGUAGCCUGUACGUAUUCAUAUGCUCAAGUACGACAAGAAUAUAUAACCAGAACAUGCGUGCACACUGUGAAAUAAAUCGCAAACCAAACUUGAUUGGAACUUAGCACCCACAUACAAGUGAUCGCUGGCUUUUUUACAACAAAUGGAAAAAAUACAAAAGUGACAGCAUGGCCGGCCAUGCGUGCGUGCAGGCAUGCAUGUAUGGUGACUGCUGUACUAUGUGGAAAAGCAAUCAAAUAACAACGCAUCAUUUAAAUCGAGCUAAAAUUAAAAGACAAGAUGUCUCAUAUGUAUGUGCGUCGGCCCAUGCAUUGCAUGGCAUGCGCUCAUUAGCACAUGAAGCCGGUGGGCACGGUCUUGCCGCAGUAGUUGAGGAUGAGGCUGAGAUCGAGUGGCACGUUGAGGUUGAUGCCGAGGACGUUGGCCUUGAUGGCGGUGCAGAGACAGACGGCGGCCUCCAGGUCGACGAGCCCCGCCAGCAGCGGGCAGCAUGGCUCCGCGGGCGGCACGCCGACCUGAGCCUUGAUCAGGCCCAGCACGUUGGCGCACACGCCCAGCUUCAACGCGUCCCUGGGGCACGAGCCGGACGACGACGACGAUGGCGUGGGUGUCGUCGGGCUGUUGGGCGCACAGGCGCUGGCUACGCCCAGCACAACUAGGUUCACGGCCAGGAACAGCGCGAACGCCUUGGACGUCAUUACUGCUCGAUCACAAGCCAGCUACCAAGCUCGCGGAUCACUCUAGAGCUAAUGUAGUUAGGGAGCUCUUGACAAGUGAUUAGCAGCUUGUUUGCGAUUCUUUGAUCAUGGGGUGUUACCAGGGGUACUUAUAGUCCAGCCUCGGGAUUAAGAAAUUAGCGCACUACUAGGCACGAUAGUGUUGUUCAUAUGAACCCGACCAUCAUAUUCGAAUACAUAUGCAGGUAAACCCGGCCGGUGAGGAAGAGUUCGUUCUGAAUUAUUUGCCUAUAUUGUAUAACUAGUGUUAUCCAUGAUACGGUAUCAAAUAUUUUGUGCACGGCUUCGGUUGGCUCCGCAAAUGGCCAGCUCGUAUACUAGCAUUUGUUUUCGUAUGAUCAUUAGGUGUCAUUUCAGCUCGGGAUCCUGCCGUAUCCGAAGGAGUGGUGCGCAGGACAUUGGAUGUCAAGCUAGCAAAGCAGCUGGUGAUUAAGAAUGAAUGCGUGGCGUGGCGCGUGGUCAUUAAGAAUGGGUGCGCAGGAACCAAGGCUACCUAGAGGAAUAGCAUGGUGCUGGUAUACAAAUUGAACUAGCUGGAUUGGAUGAAGUUUCACUACUACAGAUUCAGUCAUCACUGCCGGCCUCAUCAUUGAUGGAAUUAGGAGCACAGGUAGUGAUGCCCCUUUACUUCCGUUUCUAGGCCCUGACAACCAAAAAAUGCUUGGGGGUACCGGUGUGACAGAACCGGCAGUGAUGACAACUAUCAUUGUCGGUUUGCAUCUCAUAUCAGCAGUGACUUGACGGCCACUAGCCAAGAACCGAUGGUGAGAUGACAGAAGAAUAACGCCACUGGCAGAUCUAGAGAAAUUUAGAGGGGGUGUGAUCAUAAAUAAUGCACCUAGCCACCGAUCACAUGUUUAUUUUCCUAUGGCGUGGUGUGUUGCCACUUGCCACCGAUCACAAGUUUUUUAGACCAUAAUAGGAGUUUGCUAAAAAAAUAUUUUUUUCUUUUGCACGGUGAUCCAAUAUAUUAUUAGAAUGAAUGUCUCAUAAUAUAUAAAAGAGCUGUGAAGUUGCGGUCAUGCUUGUAGUUUUUCUUCCGCGUCUUUUAGGGAUGGUGCUUAUACCAAUUUUGGUGCCUCGCCCAAACUAAUAUAUGCAUUACUUUUUAUAUAUUAAUUCUACAUCAUUUUCUAGCUCCAUCGAUUGACCCAUAUUAAAAUCACGAAAUGGAUCUCUUUGGAUGGAAAGUGGGCUGAGCAAUCAAGCAACAGAAACCAAUUUAUUUGCUUCAUCUUUUUCAUAAAUAUCAAUUAUCAAACAUUAGAGAAAGAAAAAAGUCUAGUCCUAGAAUUUGGACAAACUAGUAAGAAGGAAAGAACCACAAAAUGAAAGACAAUUUGGAUGCUCAUAAGACCGAAAUUGGAAGAAUAGAGAACCUUGGAAGUUACUUACUUUGACUUUUGAAUGAUGAACAUAAUAUUGAAGAUCAUAGCCAGGGCAACGGGGCGAACUAUGAUGUGCUCUUGGUGCCCUUGACCCUAAGGCUACAAGCUUGGACAGAGCACAACAAUGCCCAUGGCCAAUCGGCCAUGGUCGACGACCAGUGGUAGUAGGUCACCAUCCACCGGAGUUCACGCUGUCGCCAAGGGGAGGCGAUGCGUCGGCAGUUUUUGUAACACCCAAAAAUUUGUUUUUGAAUUAAUAGGAUUUAAUGAGAAUUAUUUAAGCAAUUUUUGUGGGCAUUUAAUCUAGUAAAUAAAAUAUUUUUGUCAAAAUUAAAAUUUAUUAUAAGUUUAGAAACUUGAAUCUUGCAUUCAUGCUGGAUCAUAGUAUUUUUUGUGUGUUGUUCCUGUUUUUAUUUUAUUGUUUGUGCUUUCAAAAUGCUAUUUGGAAAAGGUUUUGGAAAAGAAAACAUAAAAGAAAUUGAAAAAAAAAGAGAAAGGGGGAAGCCCUCCCUGUCGGCCUGGCGGCCAGCCAGCGCCUGGCUUUCUCCCCCCAACCCGCGGCCCAGCUUACGGCCCAGGGCGAGCAGGCGCGCCCCACUUCCCUCCCUCUCCCUCCUUUCUGCGGCUGACGACACGGGCCCACGCGUCAGCGCCUAUCUCCUUCUUCCCAGCGUCAACGAGCCGGUUUCGGCCGGGAGACUCUCCAGCGCCGAACCGAAUCCGGGGAAGCGGGAUUUCCUUGCCAAUUUGGCUAAACUGCGCCCUUUUAAGCCCCUGCGCACCGCGGCGAGUUCUCAUCUGCAUCCUAAUCGCGAAACCGAGCCCUAGCCGCCCUAAACCACGCGAAUUGGAUCUCGCCGACAGCCGCGCACAUCCUUCACCGUGACGAGCACUAUCCCCUUCCAAUCAGCGCGAACCGAGCGUCUAGGUGAGUUCGCGUGAAGCUUCUCCGCGUCCCGGUGUUUUUCUUUCUUGAAACGGUGCUCGGAAACGAGAAGUCCGCGGACGCCGGCGAGCUCGACCUCCCUGUCCAUGGCGACCACCGCACCAGAGAGGAGGCAGACGGCCGGCCGUCGCCUGGCCCCUCCCUGGUGGCCUGGGGACCGUCCAUCUGAAGAUCAAGGGCCCAGAUUAAAACAUACCCCUUCGCCAGGAAAAAUUGUUAAAGAGCCUCUGGAGUUUUUGCUAUUCAACUCGUCAUCCUUUACGUAUUUCAAGUUUACGUUUCCUUUCAGAAAGCGUAUUCUGGUCGGCUGAAUCUAAAAUACGUUUUCAGUUAUUUCAGUUAAUUACAGAAUGCCACUGGAUUUGUUUUGCUUAUAAAAUAUUCAUAUUAACUCCGUUUUUGUCCAUUCAAAUUCCGUUAGAUUCGUAAUUACAUGCUCUACAUGUUAGAAAUGUUAGUUUACUGUUUUGGAACCUUUUAAUUUCCUGGUACUAUUUAAUUAAUUAUUUCUCUAUAGGAAAUCUUAGAAAAUUCAUAUCUUUCACGUUUUAAUUCCGAUUUUCGUGAACUUUACGUUUAUGUGAUCAUAGCGCUGCGUAGAAUAUUUUGAUAAGCUUUUAUAUUUGUUUUACUACUGUUUGGUGUAUUGUUCUAAUAAUAGCUUGUUUGCUUCGUGUAUGAUUGUCUACAUUGGAUUGCGUGUUGUUGAUUGAUGAUUGGGAAUAGACGGUGAGCCGUACGUUGGUGAUCAAGACCAAGCUUUUGAAGACCAGCAAGCUCAGAAGAGCUUUGAGCAAGGCAAGUAUAACUUGGGAUCAUCCUUGUUACCUAUUCACUUAUAACUACACAUAUAUAUCAUAUGCAUGCUAUCACCUUGUCGACCUUAGCAAAAUCAUAGAUGUUUGUUACCUGUAUUCCUUGUUACCUACUUGAUAUGCAUUUGGUGUAGAUGUGCUAGUGCUUGAUAUAAUCUAUGAUCUUGUAAGAUAAUUAAUAGCUAUGCAAUGAACGUUAAAAGAUGACAAAUAACUAUAUGAGAUCUUGUCUGUAAGUGAUCACCGGGACAACAGUGCAACCAUGAGGGCUAUAAUGGCUCUGGCUUUAGCUCAGUAUGAAGACUUUUCUAGCUUGUUAGAGGUUACCCGAAAGGGCGGAGGGGCUGAACCGUUUUGGGUAUAGUGCGAGCCCCUGUCCCUAUGUGUAUAGGCUGCGCGUCAUUGUGCCAUUCGGAAAAGGGUAUCUAUAUCUGCGCGCAAAGGAAACCUUGCGGCCCUAACAUGUUAGACGAACUUUUGAAAGGCUUCAUAGUGAUCCCUGCCGACCUCCCUAGGAAGGGGGUUAAGAGAUUAGCUACCUCGGGCGAAAGGGUAAAUCAUGACUCAUGGGUAAAGAUGUACAAACUCUGCAGAGUGUAAAACUGGUAUACUAGCCGUGCUCACGGUUAUGAGCAGCCUUGGAGGUUCUUGCUGCGCCGACGAUGAGCUUAUUAAGUUGUUAUGUCCAUUUGAUUAUCGUUUAUGCUAUGAGAUUAAUUAUGCUUACACUUGAUCAUGUGAUUAAUGGAUUAUUUAUGCUACCUUGAUAUUUGCUAUCCAAUGAUUAAACAUGUUAUCCACUAUUAAAAGCUAAAUGCAGUCAAACCAGUGUCAGCUAUUUGAGCCUCAUGAACCCCUGGUUAUACUUGUUGAGUACGAUAUGUGCUCACUCUUGCAAUUUCCCAACACCUUAGGUUAUGUUAAUGAUGAUGCUUGGAAUGAGGAUUACCGUUAUGAGUACUAGGUUUGGAGUCAACCAGUCAACAGUGUCCCUGUGUGGAGCUUCCGUCGAGAGCGUUGUUUACUUUAUGCUAUCAUUUUUGUAUGAGACUAUGUGAGUUCCGCUGUGUAAUAAACACUGCAAUGGUACUUUUGAGAUUUGUCUACUUAUGUGUGCGACUGUUUCUGGGACACAUAUGAGUCUUUUAUGCAUCCUAUUUUGUUCUUAAAAUAUGGGUGUGACAGUUUUGCCUGAGUUGAAGUGGCGUCCGAGUUGUCGAUGAUUCCAUGCGGACAGGGGCCUGGCUGAUAUUGGGCUAUGUGUUGAGGAGUUGUGGGCUGUUGUGGCCUCUCUCGAUCGACUCAGCAGAGUUGUGGGUGCAGAUGUUUGGAUUCAGGGGGUGCGAAUACCAUAGAAACAUGCAAAGUAUAGCAUAUUUUGUAUUUUUGUCUGGGUGUGGCCGCACCCAGUAGAUCCUAUAUGGAUCCGCCCAUGUAUAACGCACAUGGAGAAAAGACACAGGUGGCAAAGCAAGACAAGCAUGGCUGAGGGACAGAGGCGGCGAAGCGGUGUGCAUCAUCCAUGGGGACGGAAGAGUGAUGCAUUAGUGGCUCAUGCAUGGAUGAGGAAGAGAGGAGGCAGUUGAGUGGCUCUUAGUUCGCAGACGACUUAACUCCGGGUCUGUAUAGUUCAACUGUCACCAGAUAACUAUGAAAAAGCUCAUGUGAGCUAUGCGCUCUAGAAAAAUUAUAAGUUGUUUGGUUAAAGCAACUACAAAACCUAUUAGGGGUGGAUCUAGCACGUAGUCGAGCGGCGUCGAGCCCCUCUUACUGCCAUUGGAAAUGUAAAGCCUCUCCUAUAAGUUUGUAGCUAUUAAAGUUUAAAAGAAAUUGCUAAAUGCAAAAGAUAAGGAGGAUGAGCCCCUCAUACCUAUCCAAUCUAAUCUCUCUUGAAAUGAUUAUGAAAUGUUGCUAUAUUUCCACCCAUUUGGAAGUUGGAAUAACUGAAAGCAAGAAGUAGGGUUCAAGGUGUGAAAAUUAUACUAUGAAAGCAGUAGCUUCUAAAAAAAUAGCUUUAGAUGUUUUAUCGGUUAACACCACCACAAUAGCAAUUUUCCUAGGUGACCAUAAUUGGUUUUUGGAGUCGGGCAGCCAGUACGUCUGCCUCUCCUUCAACACCAGUAUAAAUCAAGAUUUAUGCAGGCGGACACUUGCUCAUCUGUGUUAACAAAAUAAGAAAUGGCAUGCGCAUCGAUGAGGCCCUCCAAGCCUAUCCACAAGGCCCGCCGAGCCCAUUCACGUGCUGCCAUUGUCGCUGGAUCCGCUCGUCGGAUCCACGCUCACUAGAGGAAGGGAGCAGCGUACUACCGACAUAGGGCCUGCGUGCCAUCGCCGAUUGCCCCAAACGCUGCGCUGGAGGAAGUGUGGAUCGCGCACCGCUGCUAGUGGCCGCAUGCACUGCGCCACCGUCUGAUUUUUGUCCGACACCCCGCACCACCGUCUGACAAAUAGUAUCAUUCUCACCUUCUGAGAAGUUAAACAUUUUAAAUUUUGACUAAAUAUAUAUACAGAAAUAUUAGUAUUUAUGGUGUAAAAUUAGUAUCAUUAGAUAGAUCGGUGAAUAUAUUUUUAUUAUAAACUACGUGAAGAUGUAAAUAUUGAUAAUAUUUAUUUUACAUAAUUUGUCAGAUUCAAGAAAGCUUACCAACACACAUUCCUUCUCAGUGACACUCAAGAGAAUAAGUACGUGGUAGACAGUACGUUUUCAUAUGCUCAAGUACGACUAGAAUAUAACCAGAACAUGCAUGCGAAACUGUGAAAUAAAUCGCAAACCAAACUUGAUUGGAACUUAGCACCGGCAUACAAGUGAUCGCCGGCUUUUUUUCAACAAAUGAAAAAAAUACAAUUUGACAGCACGGCCGGCCAUGCGUGCAUGCAUGUAUGUGACUAGUCGUACAUCAUACUACGUGGAAAAGCAAUCAAAUAACAACGCAUCAUUAAAACCGAGCUGAAAUUAAAAGACAAGAUGUCUCAAGGCGCUGAGAUCCAGGCGCUCAUCAGCACAUGAAGCCGGUGGGCACGGUCUUGCCGCAGUAGUUGAGGAUGAGGCUGAGAUCGAGUGGCACGUUGAGGUUGAUGCCGAGGACGUUGGCCUUGAUGGCGGUGCAGAGACAGACGGCGGCCUCCAGGUCGACGAGCCCCGCCAGCAGCGGGCAGCAUGGCUCCGCGGGCGGCACGCCGACCUGAGCCUUGAUCAGGCCCAGCACAUUGGCGCACACGCCCAGCUUCAACGCAUCCCUGGGGCACGAGCCGUUCGACGACGACGAUGGCGUGGGUGUCGUCGGGCUGUUGGGCGCACAGGCGCUGGCUACGCCCAGCACAACCAGGUUCACGGCCAGGAACAGCGCGAACGCCUUGGACGCCAUUAUUGCUCGAUCACACCAGCUCGCGGAUCACUCUAGAGCUAAUAUGGUCAGAGAGCUCUUGACAAGUGAUUAGCAGCUAGUUUGCGAUGCUUUGAUCACGGGGUGUUACCAGGGAUACUUAUAGUCCAGCCUUAGGAUUAAGAAAUCGGUGCACUACUAGGCACGAUAGUGUUCAAAUGAACCGAGUCAUCAUAUUCAAAUAUAUACAGGUGAACCCGACCGGUGAGGAAGAGUCCGUUCUAGAUUAUUGCCUACAUCGUAUAUUUAGUGUUUUCCGUGAUACGGUAUCAAAUAUUUUGUGCACGACGACUUCGGUUGGCUCCGCAAAUGGCCAGCUCGUAUACUAAUAUUUGUUUUCAUAUGAUCAUUAGGCAUCAUUUCAGCUGGGCAUCCUGGCGGAUCCGACGGAGUGGUGCCCAGGACAUUGGAUGUCAAGCUAGCGAAGCAGCUGGUGAUUAAGAAGGAAUGUGUGGCGUGGCGCGUGCUCAUUUAGAAUGGAUGCGCAAGAACCAAGGCCAGAGGAAUAGCAUGGUCCUGAUAUACAAAUUAAACUAGCACGAUUGGAAGAAGUUUCAAAGCCACGACAAAACUCUAUAAUUCUUAUGUUUUGGUGUAGCAUUGAAAUUAUUUUUUUAGAAACCACAUUGAAACGUAAAUGAAAAUUUCGGACACAACCUUUGGGUCUACAUUGCUUGAUCACUGGCCUAUCCAUCAACUUUAAUUUGAGCCACAUGGACCAACCUUCUUAGCUCGGAAAAGUAACACUGCUGCACAAAUGAUUUCACAAGAGGCACUGGUCCCCGAUUUCACAGUCAAGGUCUGGCGCCAUCUCCGUUCUCCCUACGUUCUUCCCCGGCUCGACCUUUUUCCUCGUCUCCAUCCACCACCAUCCUUGUUGUGAGCGCCUUCCCAUGCCGCCAUCCGAGGAGGGGCUCCCUUGCCACUACGUCGUCUUCCUCGUCUUCUUUGUCGGAUGCGCCUUCUAGGUAGACCCCUCACUAAAUCCUAGCUUGGUUGUGCCUGUUAUUGCCUAAGAUGUGCCAAAGAUGAAUUGAGCUGUGAUGUCAAUUUUCAAUGUUGCUUGUUAUGCUAUUUCCUAAUUAGUGCAGUUAUCAGCAUUGCAACUUUAUUGUACAGCAUCGACCGUGACGACUACAUAGACAACCGCUAUGGCAACUAGCGUCAGCUCUGGUGCCGCUGGGUAUGUUGUUGCAAACCGUCCUUUGUUUUCUAUGAUUAGAAUCAUGAUGAUUAGUAUCAUGUACACACAUGCACAUGUCAUUAGUAUCAUGUACACACAUGCACAUGUCAGAUGUCACAAAACAUGUUAUUCAGAAUUUUCUAUAUUAAACCGGUACUUAAUUUGCAUUAAAUUUAACGGCUGUAAUGGUGAAUGAGUUCAUCGCCCGCUAGUUUUACGUCUUUUUUCAUUGCUGUCAGAAUGUGCUUCAAAUAUCUUUGGCAGAGAGACUGAGAGAGAGAGAGAGUUAGCUAGUUUUUGAAUUGCCAUGGACCCAAUUCCAAGGAUCCUGGACCAUGAAUGGAUUAUUUACCAUUAUACCAUUGGGAUUAGGAUAUAUAGUUGGGUCCAUGCAUGCUUGAUUAAUUUAUUAGUGCAGACACCAAAAACUAUCCUUUUUAUCACUACUUUCUUUAUAAUAUACACCAAAAAUUCUUUACUAAAUCUACUUCCCUCGAUCACAAACACGGUCAUGCCUAAUCUAAGUUCUAUAGCCUUUCUCUUCCUCACUGAAAAUCAACGCCAAAGUCAUCUGGAUCAUGCACAUCAUUGACAUCAGUUGUGUCUUCAAACUUUUUGUGAAAGUUACCCGCUAAAAGGUUUUUGUUUGGUUUUGGUAAUUGAACAACUUAGCUGGACUAAUAGUUUUUAUGUGAGAUACACAGGAGAUUAGUCCAUAGGUGAAUAUGUAAUGAUGGAGAAGCUCAUUGCAUAUGAGAUAUGACAUGGAGUCAUGUGACCAAGAUGGAGAAGAUCUAGAUAAGGCUUGGCUUGACGGACUGAUUGCAUGUGUGAAGGGCAAGUCGGAGGCUUUGAAGCGAGGGACCGCGUGUGACAGCGAAGCUUGAGCAAGACUUGGCAGCGUUGGAUGCUAGACCUGCGUCCGACAAUGUGGGAUAGAGUUGCACGGUGCAUUGGCGCGUCCGAAGGUUUUGCGUCGGACGCUGAUCGAGUACUAUUAAGCGUCCAACGCACGCAGCGUUUUGCGAGGUGUACGUGUAGCACGCUGGCGCGCGUCCGAUGAUCACCCGUUAGUGCGUGCGUGCAUGCAUGCAUGCAUGCUGACUAGUCGUACGUCGUACCACGUGGAAAAGCAAUCAAAUAACAACACAUAAUUCAAAAGAAAAAGUCUAUAUAACCCUCAAACUGGGGUGGACUACUUCACCCUCCAAACUAUAAAACUGGAUAUUCUACCCUCUAAACUUUCAAAACUGGUCAAAUAAUCCCUUCAGUUUUGUUGGACUCCCGAUGAGUAGAUCUACAAAGUGAAUAUAUAACAUGGUAUACUUUGGUAUAAAGUUUUUGCUGUAGCUUUAAAUCUAUGUUUUUCUAUAAUUAAUUCGAAUAAUUCAUAUAUAUAGUUCCUUUGGUUCAAUUGUCGUAAAAUUUUUAUGGUGGACUCAUUAAUGUAUACUUGAACUACAGUAAAAGUUUCAUAGUCAUUGGAUCAUGUAUAACUUGAUUCUACAAAAUAUUUGGAGAUACAAAUGUUGCUAAUAUUUAUUCUACAAAUCUUGUCAGAUGUAACAAAGCUAACAAACACGCAUGCCAUAGUCACACUCAUGAUAGGGGGGUAUACCUGUAACCAUGGGCAGAUUUAGGGGUAUUCCCCUUAUUCCCGGGAAUACCCAACUAUUUUGGUACUUUUAUGUAAAUAUGUAUAUGUAUAUAUAUAUAUAUAUAUAGUGCUAUAAUAUAUAGUAUUUUCGCACUUGUGAGCUCAAAACAUGUAAAAAAAAUUGGCAUUUCAAUUAGAAAUCUAUAUUCUAUAAAGCAAAUUUUGAUUUAAAGUUGCUGACUUGUAGUGCAAUUAGCUAUAUUUUAAGCCUAUAAAUUUGAUUUUGUGGAAGUGGGAAUACCCAAGUUUCAAAUCCUAACUCCGCCACUUCCUGUAACUCCUAUUAAGUAUGUGGUAGCCUGUACGUAUUCAUAUGCUCAAGUACGACAAGAAUAUAUAACCAGAACAUGCGUGCACACUGUGAAAUAAAUCGCAAACCAAACUUGAUUGGAACUUAGCACCCACAUACAAGUGAUCGCUGGCUUUUUUACAACAAAUGGAAAAAAUACAAAAGUGACAGCAUGGCCGGCCAUGCGUGCGUGCAGGCAUGCAUGUAUGGUGACUGCUGUACUAUGUGGAAAAGCAAUCAAAUAACAACGCAUCAUUUAAAUCGAGCUAAAAUUAAAAGACAAGAUGUCUCAUAUGUAUGUGCGUCGGCCCAUGCAUUGCAUGGCAUGCGCUCAUUAGCACAUGAAGCCGGUGGGCACGGUCUUGCCGCAGUAGUUGAGGAUGAGGCUGAGAUCGAGUGGCACGUUGAGGUUGAUGCCGAGGACGUUGGCCUUGAUGGCGGUGCAGAGACAGACGGCGGCCUCCAGGUCGACGAGCCCCGCCAGCAGCGGGCAGCAUGGCUCCGCGGGCGGCACGCCGACCUGAGCCUUGAUCAGGCCCAGCACGUUGGCGCACACGCCCAGCUUCAACGCGUCCCUGGGGCACGAGCCGGACGACGACGACGAUGGCGUGGGUGUCGUCGGGCUGUUGGGCGCACAGGCGCUGGCUACGCCCAGCACAACUAGGUUCACGGCCAGGAACAGCGCGAACGCCUUGGACGUCAUUACUGCUCGAUCACAAGCCAGCUACCAAGCUCGCGGAUCACUCUAGAGCUAAUGUAGUUAGGGAGCUCUUGACAAGUGAUUAGCAGCUUGUUUGCGAUUCUUUGAUCAUGGGGUGUUACCAGGGGUACUUAUAGUCCAGCCUCGGGAUUAAGAAAUUAGCGCACUACUAGGCACGAUAGUGUUGUUCAUAUGAACCCGACCAUCAUAUUCGAAUACAUAUGCAGGUAAACCCGGCCGGUGAGGAAGAGUUCGUUCUGAAUUAUUUGCCUAUAUUGUAUAACUAGUGUUAUCCAUGAUACGGUAUCAAAUAUUUUGUGCACGGCUUCGGUUGGCUCCGCAAAUGGCCAGCUCGUAUACUAGCAUUUGUUUUCGUAUGAUCAUUAGGUGUCAUUUCAGCUCGGGAUCCUGCCGUAUCCGAAGGAGUGGUGCGCAGGACAUUGGAUGUCAAGCUAGCAAAGCAGCUGGUGAUUAAGAAUGAAUGCGUGGCGUGGCGCGUGGUCAUUAAGAAUGGGUGCGCAGGAACCAAGGCUACCUAGAGGAAUAGCAUGGUGCUGGUAUACAAAUUGAACUAGCUGGAUUGGAUGAAGUUUCACUACUACAGAUUCAGUCAUCACUGCCGGCCUCAUCAUUGAUGGAAUUAGGAGCACAGGUAGUGAUGCCCCUUUACUUCCGUUUCUAGGCCCUGACAACCAAAAAAUGCUUGGGGGUGUGACAGAACCGGCAGUGAUGACAACUAUCAUUGUCGGUUUGCAUCUCAUAUCAGCAGUGACUUGACGGCCACUAGCCAAGAACCGAUGGUGAGAUGGCAGAAGAAUAACGCCAGUGGCGGAUCUAGAGAAAUUUGGAGGGGGUAUGAUCAUAAAUAAUGCACCUAGCAACCGAUCACAUGUUUAUUUUUCUAUGGCGUGGUGUGUUACCACUUGCCACCGAUCACAAGUUUUUUAGACCAUAAUAGGAGUUUGCUAAAAAAAUAUUUUUUUCUUUUGCACGGUGAUCCAAUAUAUUAUUAGAAUGAAUGUCUCAUAAUAUAUAAAAGAGCUGUGAAGUUGCGGUCAUGCUUGUAGUUUUUCUUCCGCGUCUUUUAGGGAUGGUGCUUAUACCAAUUUUGGUGCCUCGCCCAAACUAAUAUAUGCAUUACUUUUUAUAUAUUAAUUCUACAUCAUUUUCUAGCUCCAUCGAUUGACCCAUAUUAAAAUCACGAAAUGGAUCUCUUUGGAUGGAAAGUGGGCUGAGCAAUCAAGCAACAGAAACCAAUUUAUUUGCUUCAUCUUUUUCAUAAAUAUCAAUUAUCAAACAUUAGAGAAAGAAAAAAGUCUAGUCCUAGAAUUUGGACAAACUAGUAAGAAGGAAAGAACCACAAAAUGAAAGACAAUUUGGAUGCUCAUAAGACCGAAAUUGGAAGAAUAGAGAACCUUGGAAGUUACUUACUUUGACUUUUGAAUGAUGAACAUAAUAUUGAAGAUCAUAGCCAGGGCAACGGGGCGAACUAUGAUGUGCUCUUGGUGCCCUUGACCCUAAGGCUACAAGCUUGGACAGAGCACAACAAUGCCCAUGGCCAAUCGGCCAUGGUCGACGACCAGUGGUAGUAGGUCACCAUCCACCGGAGUUCACGCUGUCGCCAAGGGGAGGCGAUGCGUCGGCAGUUUUUGUAACACCCAAAAAUUUGUUUUUGAAUUAAUAGGAUUUAAUGAGAAUUAUUUAAGCAAUUUUUGUGGGCAUUUAAUCUAGUAAAUAAAAUAUUUUUGUCAAAAUUAAAAUUUAUUAUAAGUUUAGAAACUUGAAUCUUGCAUUCAUGCUGGAUCAUAGUAUUUUUUGUGUGUUGUUCCUGUUUUUAUUUUAUUGUUUGUGCUUUCAAAAUGCUAUUUGGAAAAGGUUUUGGAAAAGAAAACAUAAAAGAAAUUGAAAAAAAAGAGAAAGGGGGAAGCCCUCCCUGUCGGCCUGGCGGCCAGCCAGCGCCUGGCUUUCUCCCCCCAACCCGCGGCCCAGCUUACGGCCCAGGGCGAGCAGGCGCGCCCCACUUCCCUCCCUCUCCCUCCUUUCUGCGGCUGACGACACGGGCCCACGCGUCAGCGCCUAUCUCCUUCUUCCCAGCGUCAACGAGCCGGUUUCGGCCGGGAGACUCUCCAGCGCCGAACCGAAUCCGGGGAAGCGGGAUUUCCUUGCCAAUUUGGCUAAACUGCGCCCUUUUAAGCCCCUGCGCACCGCGGCGAGUUCUCAUCUGCAUCCUAAUCGCGAAACCGAGCCCUAGCCGCCCUAAACCACGCGAAUUGGAUCUCGCCGACAGCCGCGCACAUCCUUCACCGUGACGAGCACUAUCCCCUUCCAAUCAGCGCGAACCGAGCGUCUAGGUGAGUUCGCGUGAAGCUUCUCCGCGUCCCGGUGUUUUUCUUUCUUGAAACGGUGCUCGGAAACGAGAAGUCCGCGGACGCCGGCGAGCUCGACCUCCCUGUCCAUGGCGACCACCGCACCAGAGAGGAGGCAGACGGCCGGCCGUCGCCUGGCCCCUCCCUGGUGGCCUGGGGACCGUCCAUCUGAAGAUCAAGGGCCCAGAUUAAAACAUACCCCUUCGCCAGGAAAAAUUGUUAAAGAGCCUCUGGAGUUUUUGCUAUUCAACUCGUCAUCCUUUACGUAUUUCAAGUUUACGUUUCCUUUCAGAAAGCGUAUUCUGGUCGGCUGAAUCUAAAAUACGUUUUCAGUUAUUUCAGUUAAUUACAGAAUGCCACUGGAUUUGUUUUGCUUAUAAAAUAUUCAUAUUAACUCCGUUUUUGUCCAUUCAAAUUCCGUUAGAUUCGUAAUUACAUGCUCUACAUGUUAGAAAUGUUAGUUUACUGUUUUGGAACCUUUUAAUUUCCUGGUACUAUUUAAUUAAUUAUUUCUCUAUAGGAAAUCUUAGAAAAUUCAUAUCUUUCACGUUUUAAUUCCGAUUUUCGUGAACUUUACGUUUAUGUGAUCAUAGCGCUGCGUAGAAUAUUUUGAUAAGCUUUUAUAUUUGUUUUACUACUGUUUGGUGUAUUGUUCUAAUAAUAGCUUGUUUGCUUCGUGUAUGAUUGUCUACAUUGGAUUGCGUGUUGUUGAUUGAUGAUUGGGAAUAGACGGUGAGCCGUACGUUGGUGAUCAAGACCAAGCUUUUGAAGACCAGCAAGCUCAGAAGAGCUUUGAGCAAGGCAAGUAUAACUUGGGAUCAUCCUUGUUACCUAUUCACUUAUAACUACACAUAUAUAUCAUAUGCAUGCUAUCACCUUGUCGACCUUAGCAAAAUCAUAGAUGUUUGUUACCUGUAUUCCUUGUUACCUACUUGAUAUGCAUUUGGUGUAGAUGUGCUAGUGCUUGAUAUAAUCUAUGAUCUUGUAAGAUAAUUAAUAGCUAUGCAAUGAACGUUAAAAGAUGACAAAUAACUAUAUGAGAUCUUGUCUGUAAGUGAUCACCGGGACAACAGUGCAACCAUGAGGGCUAUAAUGGCUCUGGCUUUAGCUCAGUAUGAAGACUUUUCUAGCUUGUUAGAGGUUACCCGAAAGGGCGGAGGGGCUGAACCGUUUUGGGUAUAGUGCGAGCCCCUGUCCCUAUGUGUAUAGGCUGCGCGUCAUUGUGCCAUUCGGAAAAGGGUAUCUAUAUCUGCGCGCAAAGGAAACCUUGCGGCCCUAACAUGUUAGACGAACUUUUGAAAGGCUUCAUAGUGAUCCCUGCCGACCUCCCUAGGAAGGGGGUUAAGAGAUUAGCUACCUCGGGCGAAAGGGUAAAUCAUGACUCAUGGGUAAAGAUGUACAAACUCUGCAGAGUGUAAAACUGGUAUACUAGCCGUGCUCACGGUUAUGAGCAGCCUUGGAGGUUCUUGCUGCGCCGACGAUGAGCUUAUUAAGUUGUUAUGUCCAUUUGAUUAUCGUUUAUGCUAUGAGAUUAAUUAUGCUUACACUUGAUCAUGUGAUUAAUGGAUUAUUUAUGCUACCUUGAUAUUUGCUAUCCAAUGAUUAAACAUGUUAUCCACUAUUAAAAGCUAAAUGCAGUCAAACCAGUGUCAGCUAUUUGAGCCUCAUGAACCCCUGGUUAUACUUGUUGAGUACGAUAUGUGCUCACUCUUGCAAUUUCCCAACACCUUAGGUUAUGUUAAUGAUGAUGCUUGGAAUGAGGAUUACCGUUAUGAGUACUAGGUUUGGAGUCAACCAGUCAACAGUGUCCCUGUGUGGAGCUUCCGUCGAGAGCGUUGUUUACUUUAUGCUAUCAUUUUUGUAUGAGACUAUGUGAGUUCCGCUAUGUAAUAAACACUGCAAUGGUACUUUUGAGAUUUGUCUACUUAUGUGUGCGACUGUUUCUGGGACAUAUAUGAGUCUUUUAUGCAUCCUAUUUUGUUCUUAAAAUAUGAGUGUGACAGUUUUGCCUGAGUUGAAGUGGCGUCCGAGUUGUCGAUGAUUCCAUGCGGACAGGGGCCUGGCUGAUAUUGGGCUAUGUGUUGAGGAGUUGUGGGCUGUUGUGGCCUCUCUCGAUCGACUCAGCAGAGUUGUGGGUGCAGAUGUUUGGAUUCAGGGGGUGCGAAUACCAUAGAAACAUGCAAAGUAUAGCAUAUUUUGUAUUUUUGUCUGGGUGUGGCCGCACCCAGUAGAUCCUAUAUGGAUCCGCCCAUGUAUAACGCACAUGGAGAAAAGACACAGGUGGCAAAGCAAGACAAGCAUGGCUGAGGGACAGAGGCGGCGAAGCGGUGUGCAUCAUCCAUGGGGACGGAAGAGUGAUGCAUUAGUGGCUCAUGCAUGGAUGAGGAAGAGAGGAGGCAGUUGAGUGGCUCUUAGUUCGCAGACGACUUAACUCCGGGUCUGUAUAGUUCAACUGUCACCAGAUAACUAUGAAAAAGCUCAUGUGAGCUAUGCGCUCUAGAAAAAUUAUAAGUUGUUUGGUUAAAGCAACUACAAAACCUAUUAGGGGUGGAUCUAGCACGUAGUCGAGCGGCGUCGAGCCCCUCUUACUGCCAUUGGAAAUGUAAAGCCUCUCCUAUAAGUUUGUAGCUAUUAAAGUUUAAAAGAAAUUGCUAAAUGCAAAAGAUAAGGAGGAUGAGCCCCUCAUACCUAUCCAAUCUAAUCUCUCUUGAAAUGAUUAUGAAAUGUUGCUAUAUUUCCACCCAUUUGGAAGUUGGAAUAACUGAAAGCAAGAAGUAGGGUUCAAGGUGUGAAAAUUAUACUGUGAAAGCAGUAGCUUCUAAAAAAAUAGCUUUAGAUGUUUUAUCGGUUAACACCACCACAAUAGCAAUUUUCCUAGGUGACCAUAAUUGGUUUUUGGAGUCGGGCAGCCAGUACGUCUGCCUCUCCUUCAACACCAGUAUAAAUCAAGAUUUAUGCAGGCGGACACUUGCUCAUCUGUGUUAACAAAAUAAGAAAUGGCAUGCGCAUCGAUGAGGCCCUCCAAGCCUAUCCACAAGGCCCGCCGAGCCCAUUCACGUGCUGCCAUUGUCGCUGGAUCCGCUCGUCGGAUCCACGCUCACUAGAGGAAGGGAGCAGCGUACUACCGACAUAGGGCCUGCGUGCCAUCGCCGAUUGCCCCAAACGCUGCGCUGGAGGAAGUGUGGAUCGCGCACCGCUGCUAGUGGCCGCAUGCACUGCGCCACCGUCUGAUUUUUGUCCGACACCCCGCACCACCGUCUGACAAAUAGUAUCAUUCUCACCUUCUGAGAAGUUAAACAUUUUAAAUUUUGACUAAAUAUAUAUACAGAAAUAUUAGUAUUUAUGGUGUAAAAUUAGUAUCAUUAGAUAGAUCGGUGAAUAUAUUUUUAUUAUAAACUACGUGAAGAUGUAAAUAUUGAUAAUAUUUAUUUUACAUAAUUUGUCAGAUUCAAGAAAGCUUACCAACACACAUUCCUUCUCAGUGACACUCAAGAGAAUAAGUACGUGGUAGACAGUACGUUUUCAUAUGCUCAAGUACGACUAGAAUAUAACCAGAACAUGCAUGCGAAACUGUGAAAUAAAUCGCAAACCAAACUUGAUUGGAACUUAGCACCGGCAUACAAGUGAUCGCCGGCUUUUUUUCAACAAAUGAAAAAAAUACAAUUUGACAGCACGGCCGGCCAUGCGUGCAUGCAUGUAUGCUGACUAGUCGUACAUCAUACUACGUGGAAAAGCAAUCAAAUAACAACGCAUCAUUAAAACCGAGCUGAAAUUAAAAGACAAGAUGUCUCAAGGCGCUGAGAUCCAGGCGCUCAUCAGCACAUGAAGCCGGUGGGCACGGUCUUGCCGCAGUAGUUGAGGAUGAGGCUGAGAUCGAGUGGCACGUUGAGGUUGAUGCCGAGGACGUUGGCCUUGAUGGCGGUGCAGAGACAGACGGCGGCCUCCAGGUCGACGAGCCCCGCCAGCAGCGGGCAGCAUGGCUCCGCGGGCGGCACGCCGACCUGAGCCUUGAUCAGGCCCAGCACAUUGGCGCACACGCCCAGCUUCAACGCAUCCCUGGGGCACGAGCCGUUCGACGACGACGAUGGCGUGGGUGUCGUCGGGCUGUUGGGCGCACAGGCGCUGGCUACGCCCAGCACAACCAGGUUCACGGCCAGGAACAGCGCGAACGCCUUGGACGCCAUUAUUGCUCGAUCACACCAGCUCGCGGAUCACUCUAGAGCUAAUAUGGUCAGAGAGCUCUUGACAAGUGAUUAGCAGCUAGUUUGCGAUGCUUUGAUCACGGGGUGUUACCAGGGAUACUUAUAGUCCAGCCUUAGGAUUAAGAAAUCGGUGCACUACUAGGCACGAUAGUGUUCAAAUGAACCGAGUCAUCAUAUUCAAAUAUAUACAGGUGAACCCGACCGGUGAGGAAGAGUCCGUUCUAGAUUAUUGCCUACAUCGUAUAUUUAGUGUUUUCCGUGAUACGGUAUCAAAUAUUUUGUGCACGACGACUUCGGUUGGCUCCGCAAAUGGCCAGCUCGUAUACUAAUAUUUGUUUUCAUAUGAUCAUUAGGCAUCAUUUCAGCUGGGCAUCCUGGCGGAUCCGACGGAGUGGUGCCCAGGACAUUGGAUGUCAAGCUAGCGAAGCAGCUGGUGAUUAAGAAGGAAUGUGUGGCGUGGCGCGUGCUCAUUUAGAAUGGAUGCGCAAGAACCAAGGCCAGAGGAAUAGCAUGGUCCUGAUAUACAAAUUAAACUAGCACGAUUGGAAGAAGUUUCAAAGCCACGACAAAACUCUAUAAUUCUUAUGUUUUGGUGUAGCAUUGAAAUUAUUUUUUUAGAAACCACAUUGAAACGUAAAUGAAAAUUUCGGACACAACCUUUGGGUCUACAUUGCUUGAUCACUGGCCUAUCCAUCAACUUUAAUUUGAGCCACAUGGACCAACCUUCUUAGCUCGGAAAAGUAACACUGCUGCACAAAUGAUUUCACAAGAGGCACUGGUCCUAGAUUUCACAGUCGAGGUCUGGCACCAUCUCCGUUCUUCUUCCCUGGCUCGACCUUUUUCCUCGUCUCCAUCCACCACCAUCCUUGUUGUGAGCGCCUUCCCAUGCAGCCAUCCGAGGAGGGGCUCCCUUGCCACCACAUCGUCUUUCUCGUCUUCUUUGUCGGAUGCGCCUUCUAGGUAGACCCCUCACUAAAUCCUAGCUUGGUUGUGCUACAUAGACAACCUCUAUGGCAACUAGCGUCAGCUUUAGUGUCGUUGGGUAUGUUGUUGCAAACCGUCCUUUGUUUUCUAUGAUUAAAAUCAUGAUAAUUAGAAACAUGUACACACAUGCACAUGUCAGAUGUCACAAAACAUGUUAUUCAUAAUUUUCUAUAUUAAACCGGUACUUAAUUUGCAUUAAAUUUAAUGGCUGUAAUGGUGAAUGAGUUCAUCGCCCGCUAGUUUUACGUCUUUUUUUAUUGCCGUCAGAAUGUGCUUCAAAUAUCUUUGGCAGAGAGACUAAGAGAGAGAGAGAGAGAUAGCUAGUUUUUGAAUUGCCAUGGACCCAAAUCCAAGGAUCAUGGACCAUGAAUGGAUUAUUUACCAUUAUACCAUUAGGAUUAGGAUAUAUAGUUGGGUCCAUGCAUGCUUGAUUAAUUUAUUAGUGUAGACACCAAAAACUAUCCUUUUUAUCACUACUUUCUUUAUAAUAUACACCAAAAAUUCUUUACUAAACUACCUCCCUCGAUCACAAACACAGUCAUGCCUUAUCUAUGUUCUAUAGCCUUUCUCUUCCUCACUGAAAAUCAUGGCCAAAGUCAUCCGGAUCAUGCACAUCAUUGACAUCUGUUGUGUCUUCAAACUUUUUGUCAAAGUUACCCGCUAAAAGGUUCUUGUUUGGUUUUGGUAAUUGAAUAACUUAGGUGGACUAAUAGUUUUUAUGUGAGAUACACAGGAGAUUAGUCUAUAGGUGAAUAUGUAAUGAUGGAGGAGCUCAUUGCAUAUGAGACAUGACAUGGAGUCAUGUGACCAAGAUGGAGAAGAUCUAGAUAAGGCUUGGCUUGACGGACUGAUUGCAUGUGUGAAGGGCAAGUCGGAGGCUUUGAAGCGAGAGACCGCGUGUGACAGCUAAGCUUGAGCAAGACUUGGCAGCGUUGGACGCUAGACCUGCGUUCGACAAUGUGUGAUAGAGUUGCACUGUGCAUUGGCAUGUCCGAAGGUUUUGUGUCGGAUGCUGACCGAGUACUAAUGAGUGUCCAACGCACGCAACGUUUUGCGAGGUGUACGUGUAGGACGCUGGCACGCGUCCGAUGAUCACCCGUCAGACACGUCCGAUGGUGUGUAACCAAGUUUGGGAACUCUCUAAGCAGCGUCGGACGUGAGGUGCUAGCGUCCGACAAGUUGUGCCAGAACGUCCUAUCCCUCGGCACGUGUGAGUUAGCCGUUGGCGGCAACGGUUAAGUUCAAACGACUAGUAGCACGUGGCUGCUUCAUGAGCUACGGACACUGGGGUGGUGCGUCCGACGCCCCCGCGUUUUGCCUAGUGAAGGGGCAACGGCUUGUUUAGCCCUUGUGGCUAUAAAUAGAAGUGUGGCCGCCCUUUGGCUAGUUGCUGAGCCCACUAGGGCCUUGGUGGCUUAUGUGGUGGCGCUUGGGAGCCCUCUAACUCACUUAUGCUUGAUAGUGAUCAUCUGAUUGAGUGGGAGAGUGAUUCUAGUGUGAUUGCAAUGUGAGAUUGCAUCGAGUGGCACUAGGUGUUCGUGUUGCAAGCUGGUGGUGCUUCUUACUCUUGGAGGUUGCCACCUCCUAGAUGGCUUGGUGCCUUGUGACUCUAUCGAAGCCUACAAGGAGAUUGUGCGGUGCUCUGAAGAAGAGAUUGUGAGGGGUACGGUGCUCACCCGGCAGGGAUCACGAAGAGCAACUCUAGUAGAGCGAGACGUGAAGGGGACAAGUGGUCCGGCCGGAUCAAGUGCUAGAGCUUAUGGUAAGCACUCUACAUGGGAGAGUGUGACUUGUGGGUCACCAGCAAGAGGACCGGUGGCAACCUUAGCUUGGUGGCAACCAAGUGAACCUCGGUAAAAAAUCACAGUGUCAACAUUGUCUACUUUCUUGGUGGUUUGCAUUCGCCAUACACAAGCUUGUAUUUACAUUCCUUAUAUAUAGUGCUUUAUGUAGUUGCUCUUGUAACUAGUUUACCUUGUGGAGCUUACUAGUUAUGUUCUUGCUUGUGUAGUUAGAAGUAGUUUCCUUGCAUAGCUAAUUUGGUUUGUGUAACCUUGUUAGUCAUAUUACUUAGUUUGUGUAGCUAAGUAAUUUGCGCUCUCUAAUUUGGCAUUGGUUGCCUUGUUAUUGAGCAUUUCUAGUGAGCUUAGGAGCUUUGUGCUUUUGCUUACUAGUUGUGUAAGAGCUUCCCCGAUGUACAAAGUACUAGUGGUAUCAGUUUAUGUGACAUUGCUCCUAGAUUUGGUUAGGUGAGCUCUUGCUAAGGAAGCACCUUGUUUGCUUGUUCAGGAUCUUCUACAAAGUGCUAGAGAACUUAGAUAGAGGGGUGUAGUCUUGGCUAGACCGAUAGUUUUAAUUCUGCAUUUGUUUCGAUUUGCUAACGCGAUAAGUUUUAGAAAGGACUAUUCACCCCCUCUAGUCUGCCAACUUGAUGCUUUACCCAAUAGCCACUGUUUGUGUACUUAUAUAUGAUACACGUUUGUUCUUUCUCUUUGUUUCCUAUCGUGUCAACAGUUCCGCUGCUGCGUGGGCGUGGUCAUCGGCCCCUGGCAACAAUCACAGGUCACGUGCCCGCUCUGCCAUGCAAACCUCAAGAAGCAUCUCUGGUGCCAGUGCAGGCGAUGGUACCCCAUCACCGCCUCUCAUGGUGUGCUAUAUGACGACUCAAAGAACAUUGACGAAGAUGAUAGGAAGAAGAAGCAACAAGUUAGUGUUCAAGUAUUUUGGAGUGGCAACAAGUGUUCAAGAAAUGCAAAUGCUACAGGAAGACAUGAAUUGCAGUUCUGUUCUUUUGUUUACACCUACUAGGCUACUAUCUGUAGGCCAAAAACAUAUGGAAGUGUUGAAUGCCACUUUUGCGCCCAAGUCAUGAUCUAUUGAUCUCUUAGCUUUAGCCAUAACCAGUUAGUAUGUCAGACUUAGUAUAUGCUUAUAUAUAAGGUUGCUAAAGACUAAUCUACAUCCUGGACCUCUAUGUAUGGUUGCAUGUACUAUGAUCAUCACUUGACCUAUUAUGUAUGAUCAUCCAGUUCGUGUAUGUAUGGAGAUCUGAUAUUUUAAUUCUAUAAGAUCAUGUGAUUUUGCUCGAUCAAUGUGAUGUGUAUUUAUUAAAAUAUUCAAAUUGUAUCUACACCCUACUAUCUGCAAUAUAGUUUUACCGACACUUCUACUGUUGGACAAGGCAUGGUUUAUAAAACACCCUGAAAACGGUUUCGUUAACAUACGAACUGUCGGAAAAGGUUCAAACUAUCGACAUAGGUCCAAAAUGUCGGCAAAGGGUUCACUGUCGGUGAAAGUUCAACUGUCGGCGUAGGUACGCCAUUUGACUACAGAAAAUGUGUCGGUGAUGCCUUUAGCUGUCAGCAAAAGUUUCGCCAACUGCUUCUACCACGACUGUUUGAAAACUAUCGGCAAAACCUUUCGUGAGACAUUAAGUGUCGGCAAAGGGUACCUUUGCCGAUAGUUGGAAGUGUCGGCAAAGCCAUGUUGUGUUAUAGUGGUAUUGAGCUGCAGAUGCUGCAACAUGUGGCAGGCCGCCAGUAUGCUGCGGUCAUACUUGAUCACUCAUUCUUUGCAGCUUCCGCGUUCAACACCGAGGAGGGUGGCCUCAAGAUGAUCAUGUUGUGGGUGCUUGGAGCACUUGCUCUUAAAUCUCUAAAUGAUAUUGCUCUAAACAACUUCUUUUAGCAACCUGGAGGGAGUAAUUAUUCUUUUCCACCGAGUGAAUUGGGUUAUUUUUCUCGUUUUUGAAGGAACUCUAAUCGUACGUACAUGACUUAAUUUUAUAUCGCAGAAAAUAGUUCCUAACUGCCAAUGGUAUUGCUGAGGAUAGCGCUGGGAGGUUAUCAUGUCUUCAAAAGUAAUUAAAUUUAUAUCUCUUAGCCAAAGCCGGUAGGUCGAAUUCUAUAACUCUUGUCCUGCUACUGUUAUUCAUAGUAGUGCCACGAAUAUACUGUAAUAUAAUGUUGCUGGUGGAUAUAAAACAAUGUUUAUAGCUACAUUAUUAUCCAAAUUGUUGUUUGUUCUUUAUUCUCAAACUUUUGAUUUGACUCACCCACUUUGAGCUAGCAGCAAGGUAUUGAUCUAGAAUCAACCAAUAGCUGACAGAAAUCUGAAAAACAUGCCUGUUUAAGUAUAAGAGAGAAUGCACAUGAAUCUUGGCUUCUAACGUUUUAUUUAGUGUGUGGUAGAAUAUUUCAGGUAGGAGAUAUACCUUAGUGGUUAAUCGAGUGCAGGUUAUUCUUCUAAACUUCUAUAAUAGUUCUCUGCAGGUGUCCAUAUUCAUGAUUUUUUUAGUUCAACAUAAUAGUUGGAUUAUCCGAUUGAGCAACUAGUUAAAACUCAUGGCUACAUUCCUUUUCCCCUAUGUUUCUGUCAGCAAUGUUGAAUAGAAAAUUUUUCAGUUGACUCCUUCCAAUGCAUGUAAAGUAUCACACUGGUACAAAGGGAUAUUUUUUAGUUCUAAUUAGAACACAAUAUGUCUUAUCAUCUUAGUGUUAUUAAGCAUAAUGACGCCCGAUAAGCAUAUUUCUUGUUAUACAUGAAAAUAAGAUAAUGUGAUCAUUCACUUUCUUCUUUAUCUUGCAUAAUAGUUAUCUUGCCAUCAACUUUGGGCACCUUUUCUAAAGGUGCCAGCUGGCAAGGAGGGCGCCAAGCGCAAUGUGGUCUUCUCCAUAUUGUGGGGUUCGGGAGCCUUUGGCAAGACGGCGCUGGCCAUGGAGGUGUGCCACACCUAGAAGCGGAGUUCUCGUGCUAGACGAUGGUGUCUAUGUCUCGGGUUCGAGCCAUGCGGGGACCUCAAGGUGCUUUUCAAGGGCCUUCUUCAGCAGGUCGUGAAGCCCAAAACAGCUAACAACAGGGACAUCAAGGAAGAGGAUGCAAUCGGCGCCCUAGAUGACAAUUUUUUUUCGAAAGAUCCGUUGUCGGCUUUCAUUUAUAAGAAGGAGCAUCAAUUACAGUAUUUACAUGGCGCCAGAGGCACCUUUUUGCAGCGUUCCAAGGAAAACCAGGAAGCCACAUCACCCCUGCAAGCUAAGGAUCUAAUUUACAUAUCUUGCUGUGACAACUAAACAUGCCUCUAUGGCCCUAUUACCCGCCCUCACCCAAACUCUAGCCUCUUCCUGGAUUGAUCGGAAGACCUGUUCAGGUGUCUUGUCAACCUUGUUGAAAACCCGCGCAUUUCUCUCUUUCCAAAGCUCCCACACCGUUAGCAUGACCAUGGAUCGGAGUCCUGCACCUCUGGCACUGUCAGUACUUGUAGAGAUAUCAAUAUACCACUGACCCAGGUCAAAGGUUUGCAUCCAGUUUGUCGGGUUUGUAGUGGGUGCUGCAAUCCAGGUGCUCACCUUGGACCAGACCUCUCUUGCGAAGCCACACUCUUGAAAGAGAUGACAAACAGUCUCCAAAUUUCUCCAGCAGAACUGACAGAAGUAAUCAUUAGGCCACUCUCUUUGUUGCAGCCGCGCCGCUGUCCAGAUCCUAUUCUGAAGCAUCAGCCAUGUGAAGAAGCGACAUUUUGGCGGUGCUUUCGUCUGCCACAUGGCUCCUGCUGUGGCAGAGUUUGUGUUCCCAACGAACUGCAGUUCAUAUGCGGAUCUUGCUGUGUAGUGCCCAUCCGACGUAUGUAACCAGAUGAUCCUAUCUUGUUGUGUUGGUAUAAGGUCCACCUGCUGCAGUUUCUCCCACAGUGCAACGAAAUCUGCUAUCAACUGCUCAGUCAAGCUAUAGUCUACAUCAUCGAUCCAUUUAUUAUCCGUAAGCGCUUCCUUGACUGAUCUAUUCUUCCUUUUACUGUGACUGAAUAAGGCCGGGUAAAGCGUCGCUGGGGACUGCCCUUCCAUCCACCUUGAUUGCCAGAAGGAAGUGGACUGGCCAUCUCCUAAAAGGACUCUAGCAAAGGAACUAGAAGAGCUUCUCGUGGAUAAGAGCUAUAUAUAGUGCUUCUAGUUCUAUUAUUAUUUUUUACUAAUUAGCCCAUCAAACCAUAUUAGAGCAUUCGUAGACUAUAAUCUUAUGUUACAUGAUUGUUAGAAUUUUUAAGAGUAAAUUAAUCAAAAUUAAUUAUCUAUACAAAUUUUGUCAUGUUUUGUGAUUUACCGUACCGUUAGCAUGGUGGACAUUUGCUCGCCUUUGUUAACAAAUUAAAAACGGUAAUGAUAAUAAUAGGGCGUCCGUCCGCGCCGGACGGACCAGACCGAGCACACACGUACGCGUAACGCUUUGUUUUCUUCGCUGGUUGCCGUCUGCAUCCCUCCAUCCGCAGAGCGCUCCCUUCGCAUCUCUUGCCGCACUCACUUUCUUCUCUGUGUCGCCCUCCUGCUCGUUGGUCGCAACGUCGUCAAAACUGAGGGGUAUCGCGGCCACACGUCUGCAGGCUCGCAGCGCAUCCCUGCACCACCUAUGCUCCCUCCUCCUCCUUCCCUCGCGCCAUUGCGCCCUCCACGGACCCCCACUACCCCUGCGACCUGGCUCCAUGCACACCACCGGAGAUGAGGACGGCGGCGGCGGCUUCAACGAGGUAGGUUGCGAAAGGAUCUGAAUCUGAGACUUCAUAUUCCUCCUCUGAAUCUAGAUCUGAGCUCUCCUCCCUCAUUCUCCUCUAGAUCUGGCCCUUCUCCUCCUACUCGUUCUCCUCCCCCUCCUCUCCCAUCUGGAUCUAAGGGAUAUGGGGGUGGCUAGGGUUCCGACGAGCUUUUUGGGCUUCGGAUCUCGCCGUGUUGCAGUGGUUUGGGGUUCAGAUCUCGCCGUGUUGCAGUGAUUUCCUUUAAAUGUUGCAGAAGUGUUUCAGUUGAUGUUGCAGUAGUACUGCUUUCAGAUUGCAAUAUGUUUUCAGUUGAUUCAAUCUGCAUGUUUACAGUAGUUGUUGCAACAGUUGUUUGGUAUUGUUGUAAUAUUAUGUUCAUGGUGUUUUAGCAUGAUGUUUCAACUAUUUUUUGUUGUUUUUGUAAUAAUAUGUUCAAGGUGUUUCAACAUCUUCAUCCCAAUGUUGCAGUUGUUGUCUCUUUUUGUUUGCAAUACGUUCAUAGUGUUUCAAUUAUUUCUACCUAUUGUUGUAGUAGUUUUUCGGUGUUGUUGCAAUAACAUGUUCAUGGUGUUUCAGCUGCUUCAUCCUCUGUUGCGGGAGGGGCGAGCUAGGAGACAGGUUGUAGGGGCAAGCUAGUGGUGGGAGGAGGUGUUGGGGCUGUAAGGUUGGGGGCGGGCGGAUCCCAUGCACGUGGGUGGUCGUAGGUGGAUUUCGAGCGCAGGGAGCGGAGGAAGGGUCGUUCCAAUCUCGACUUUUAUCUUCGUGCGGGCGGAUGACAAUCUCUACUUUUCUUCUCCGUGCGGGGUAAGAGGGGUCACGAUUUAAUUUGGGAAGGCAAGGACAAUUUUUAGUCUCUACUUUUUUUUUCUUUUUCGGGUAGGGUAGGUGGGAAGACCGCGAUUCGGCGUUCACUCGGCGUUCGGACGCUAGCACCAGGAUCGGACGUCCGAGCGCUAGCACUUCCGAAUUAAAAAAUAGUGUGUGCAUCGAUGAGGCCCACUGAGCCCAUCCAUAUGCCACCAUUGUAGCUGGAUCUGCUCGCUGGAUCCACGCCAACCAGAGGAAGGGAGCCGCGUGCUGCAGACGGAGGUUCUGUCGUGUCGACGACCCCGCACGCUGCCGCUCGAGGAAGUGCCGGCCGCGCACCGUGCAGCUAGAGGCCGUAUACACCGCGCCGCAUGCACGUCGAAUUUUGUCCCACGCCCGCGCCACCAUCUGACAAAGGGUAUCUUUCUCACCUUCCGAGAAAUUAAAUAAUUUAAUUUUUUACUAAAUAUAUAUAUAUAUGGUAAUAUUAUUAUUUAUGGUGCAUAAUUAGUAUUAUUAGAUGUAAAUAUAUUUUUAUAAUAAAUUAUUUAGAGAUACAAAUGUUGUUAAUAUUUUAUCUAUAAAUCUUGUCACAUGUAACAAAGUUAACAAACACGCAUUCCAUAGUCACACUGAUGAUAGGGGGUAUACCUGUAGCUCCUAUUAAGUACAUGGCAGCCGGUACGUAUUCAUAUGCUCAAGUACGGUAAGAAUAUAACCAGAACAUGCAUGCACACUGUGAAAUAAAUCGCAAACCAAACUUGAUUGGAACUUAGCACCGGCAUACAAGUGAUUGCCGGCUUUUUUACAACAAAUGAUAAGAGUCACAACAUAGCGGCACUCAUGCAUGCUGACUGCCGUACUACGUGGAAAAGCAAUCAAAAAAGUCCAGUCUUAAUGGACAGUAUCACUGUACGGUUCACAUACCAACACGUCUCAAGAUUGAAAUGAACUAUCUAUGAAAUAACCCCAGCAAAAGCAUUUCACUUUGUUAUUUUCAAGGCUAAGCAAAAAUAAGGCGAAAAUAUUAUAGACUUGUUAAACUUUACCGACUCCAACCAAACACCUCCAAGAUCCAUUGUAUGUUUCCCUUCUUUUUUGACGGCAUAUUUGGGGUAGACAGUGUCUCAAGUGAAGGGAGAAGGUGACGUGGAGGAGAUAUUAUAUUAGGUGGAGUGGAUCUCUCAAGCUGAUAUGGUAGAGGGAGAAUGCAUUCCAAGCGGUGCGGGUCUUGGGUGGAGGUGAGGGAGAUGGCAGAGGAAUGACACGCAUGGAGAAAGAAUAGAGGUGGCAAAGCAAUGCAAGUAUGGAUGAGGUUGAGAGGCGGCAAAGUGGUGUGAUGACUUAGCGUCUCAUGCAUGUAUAAGGAAGAGAGGAGGCGGUUGAGUGGCUCUUGGCUCGCACAUCACUUAACUUAGCACUUAUUUGGUUGCCUUAUCAAUCUACAAGCUGCGUCAUGCUUAGGAACAGUCUAUCAUCGACGCUGUGGCCAGAAAAAUUCCAUUCUGGAAAUCAGGACUCCUCGCUUCCUCUAGACGUGCACUGCUCACCAAGGUCACGCUCUCGGCCGUCCCCAUCCACGUCUCAAUAGCAACAUGCCUCUCCCCUUGGGCAAUUGAAAGAAUUAAUAAGAUCUGGCGGGCUUUUCUUUGGAUGGGGAAGGAGACGGCGAGAGGGGGACACUGCAGGCUAGCUUGGCGAACUGUUUGCUCCCCAACCAAGUAUGGUGGGUUGGGCAUGAUUGAUCUACGGCUGUUUGGUUUCGUGCUAAGGCUACGGUGGGAGUGGCUGAAGCGCAUCGAACCAGACAAAGGCUGGGCACGUCUUCCAGCCAAGCAGGAGGAUGCCGUUACCGCCAUGUUUAUGGCCUCUUGCUCGGUGCAGUUGGGUGACGGCAAAUUGGCGAGUUUCUGGAAUGACAGGUGGCUCCCGGUUGGAUCCCUACGGUCCUUUGCGCCACAUGUUUACUAGGCAUCGUCCAGGGCUGGGAGCGUAAUGCAAGGAUUUUUAGAAAACGAGGCUAAGUCAAUGGUUGCAAUCGCAAAACACAUCAAGGAAGAAGGAGAGCGCUUUGGAUCGACGCUGGUUUCAGGUUUGGUUUCGUGUGUUGGAGCCUGCAGAUUUGCAGCUAUUGCUAGAUGGUCUGAGAGAAGAUAGCUUGUGCACUUGGUGGUUGAAGAAGCGCCAGCUGCUGGAUUCUGAGAGGCGCAGAGGCUUCGAUGUCUUGAUGCUGCUGGUCUCCUGGGAACUAUAUGAAUGGAGCGUAAUGCAAGGAUUUUCAGAAACGAGGCCAAGUCAAUGGUUGCAAUCGCAAAACACAUCAAGGAAGAAGGAGAGCUUUGGAUUGAUGCUGGUUUCACUCCUCUAGCUGUUGUUUGGGCGUUCUUUCAGAAUGACGGAUCGCGCUUUUGGUAGACGUUUAGUUUACAGUUAUCUUGUCUACCCUUGUUUUGUUGUUAGCUUUGCUAAUGUGCAUGCUUACCGCUCGCAAGCAAGCUAAUGUAGCAGGUCUAACAGUAUGUUGUAACACUAAAUUUCUUUUGUCUUAAUGAAACACGGGCCGUUUAAACCCGUUCGCAAAAAAUAAAUGUUGUGAGCUAUUAACUAUGAAAAAGUUGAUUUGAGCUAUGUGAUGUGGAAAAACUAUAAGUUAUUUAGUUAAAGCACUUUAAAACCUAUCAUGAGUGGAUCUAGCACAAGGUCAACCGAGGUCGAGCCCCUCCUAUUGCUACCGAAAUUACGGAGGCCCUCCUACAAGUUUUUAGCCAUUAAAGUUUAAAUGGAAAUAAGGAGGAUGAGACCCUCUGAUCCUAGCAUAUGUUUCUAGAUCCAUCAAUAAAAUCUACCUUUUUUCUUGUCUCCCUAGAAACUACUGUGAAAUGUCUUUAUCAUAUUUUUUGCCACAAAAUUCACGGCUACACAGUCAGUGGGAUUAGAUCCUGUGACCUUCCUCUUGUGUGUCUCCCUCCCUAACCACCCCUUGUAUAUAUAUUGCAUUUCGGUUCCUCUUGUGUGUAAAUUGAUUGUUUGAAGCCCUAAAUGAUUUCAAAUCAGAACAUUGUCAACUACAAAGUUUCAUAACUUUUUGAGAUCUACAAUUUUCAUUUAGAGAGUUUCUCUAUCCGAGGUCGUUUAUAAAAUUUGAAUUUCAGAUUUGAGAAAUUCAAACGUAGUUUUUGCAUAACAAGAUGAUUUCAAAGCAAAAAAAUUGUUAAAUAUAAAGUUCAUAACUUUUUGAUAUUUACAAAGUUUAUUUAGUGAGUUUUUUCCAUCUAGGUCAUUUGAAAAAUUCGGAUUUUAAAAUUUUUAAAUAAAGAAGCAGUUUUGCAUGACAAGAUAAACUCAAAUGAAAAGGUUAUAAAAUAUAAAAUUUCAUAAAUUCUCAAGAUCUACAAAGUUUAAUUUGAUUAUUUGUUCAUCCGAUAUGGUGAUUCUAACAUAUUUCACAAAUCUUAUAUAUCUCUCUUAUAAUUUGAUUAUUUGUUCAUCCGAUAUGUAAAAUUUGUGAAUAAAUUUAUUUUCACUUUGUCAAAUAAAAAAAUUACCAAAAUAAACAUUGUAGAUCUUGAGAAGUUAUACAACUUUGUCUUUUUAAUUUGAAUUUGUUUAGGGCUUUAAAAUUUGAUUUGAUGUAAUUGAAAACUUUUUUGAUUUGAAUUCGUUUAGGGCUUCAAAUUUUGAUUUAAAAUUUUCUUUGUCGAGUGUUUUUUUUACACUCGGCACGGCAAAGAGGCUUCUUUGCCGAGUGCCUAAAAAUACAUUCAGUAAAUCAUUUGACGCUUGGCAAAGAGUCGGAUUCUAGUAAAGUGCAAGGUGAUGGUGGCACACGGUAGAGAAGUUUGGCGUUUGGCUGCUUGUGAUAUUUGCAACUUUUAUUUAUUUAUCUUUAAGCUCAAACGAAAAACGGCUGUAAACACGGAUCCAAACCUCUAUAACUUUGUGCUCGCUUCUGCACGCAGCAUACAUAUAUUAACUUGUUCCCAACGGAGACUAAUAACUCAUUAAUAAUGACAUAUAUAUAUAUAUAUAUAUAUAUAUAUAUAUAUAUAUAUAUAUCAUUAUGUGGAGAUAUAAAUGUUGCUAAUAGUUAUUAUAAAUUUAGUCAGAUUUAUGAAAGCUUACCAAGAAGUACUAUCUCACAGUGACACUCAAGAUAGGGGGAGUACACUAGUACACUUCUAAUAAGUACGUGGUACGGCAAAAAUAUAAUCAGAACAUACACACAAAACACUGAAAUAAACCGCAAACCAAAUUUAAUUGGAAGCACCGGCAUACGAUUGAUCACCGGCUCUUUACAACAAAUUCACAGGAACGGAAGAGGCAGGAAAAAUACAGAUCGAUAGCACGGCCAUGCAUGCAUGCAGAGUCGUACCUCGUACGUGGAAAAGCAAUCAAACCAUGGAUCAUUCAAACCGAACCGAAAGGAAAACACGUCUCACAUACGUUCGCCCACAUAUAUGCAUGCGUGCAUGCAAGGGAGGCAACGCACGUCGUCGAGCACGUACGCAAGGGCAAGGCGUUGAGAUCGAUCGAGGCGCUCAGCACUUGAAGCCGGUGGGCACUGUCUUGCCACAGUAGUUGAGGAUAAGACUGAGAUCAAUUGGCAGAUUGAGGUUGAUGCCGAGGAUGUUGCCCUUGAUGGCGGUGCAGAGGCAGACGGCGGCCUCCAGGUCGACGAGCCCCUCCAGCAGCGGGCAGCAAGGCUCCGCGGGCGGCACUGCCACCUUAGCCUUGAUGAGGCCCAGCACGUUAGCGCACACGCCCAGCUUCAGCGCGUCCCUGGGGCACUUGCCGAACGACGACGGCGUGGGCGUCGGUGUCGACGGGGUCCAGGCGCUGGCUACGCCGAGCACAACCAGGUUCACGGCCAGGAACAGCACGAAAGCCU
rnacentral:lncRNA from 1 species